AAUCCACUAUUGCGGCAAGUGUGGCCUGACCUAUGUUUAUCAGAAGGCCGGUGCCUAAUUCCUAAUUGUUUUCGUUAUUAGUAUAUAAAUUUGGGAAUGUUCUGUUCGUUUAAUACUGUUUUGAUAAAACUUCUAUGGAUACUCUUUAUUCUCUCCAAUGUGUUGUUAUUUUUGUUAGAAUGAAAUUUAGAAUUUGGUUUUGAAAAAAAAAAUACAUAAAAUCCAAAUUUUUAUAUUUUGAUUUCUAUAAUCAGUAAAGUCUUUGAAUUCUAUAAUCCAUAAUUUUUAAAAAAACAUGGAUUCGAAAUGGUAUUUUUAGGAUUUACAUAAUUAUGAAGGUGUAGAAAGAAAUUAUUGGGAGUGCAGGAAGAAAAUCACGAAAGCUUCAUAAAAAAAAAGUAGGAAUCCAUAAAGGAUUAAUUCAACAAAGUUUUUUCCUGCACCCCUUCAUUUUUCUUCUUGCACUUCCACAAUUUUUAAAUUCCAAAACUAGCCUUGACUUUUUAUUUGAAAAGGGAACCUGCAAUUUUUUGAAUUACGGAUUUGUGAAUCCAUAAUGAAUUUUUUGCAUUACGGAUUAUGAAAUCUGGAAACAUACUACGGAUCACAAAUCUGGAAGAUUAUCGGCCUAACAAAUUUGGAAGAUUUACGGAUGCACCAAUAUGGAGUUUUGCGGAUUCAAUAUUUCGGAAGACAAAAAAAAAAGUGUGGAUUUUCUAUUCCGUAAACAUAGCGGACUGCAUUGUUUGGAAUCACAACAUAUGUAUUGGAGAAACAAAAAUCCGCAAUAAAAAUGUAACUAUAGAUUCAGAAAGCAAAAAAAAAUUACUUACCUUCUUCGAAUAAAGAACCGCCAAGAGAAACCACCGAACCACCAAGUCGCUGGAAACAUCACCGAUUACCACCAAGAGAAACGCCUUCUUGUGCCAAGAGAUGGAGUAGCGUUGCCGUUGAGAGAGCAUGCAAUUUGUCUAUGUGCAGUCUGUGCAAAGGAAAAAGAAAGGGUAGAGUGUGGGUGUUGUGUGCAUUUUAGGAUUUUUAGAAAAUAUUAGGGAUAAGUUUGUUUAUGCAUAACAUUGUGGGGUGUAGAAAGAAAAAUGUAAAGAUACAAGAAGAAACUGUCUUAAUUCAAAAUAGAAUGCAUUGCCUGCCUACAUGUCCGCUCUAAACUAAUUUAGAAUUAAAAUAAAUUUUAUUAAAACAAUUAUAACAUUUAAAUAUUUUGAAAUGUAAGAUUAUUUAAUAAUUGUGAUAAGUUAUUUUAUUUAAUAAAUAUUUAUUGAUUAAAAAUAAAUUUAACUUCAUUUAUUUUUUUUAAGUCAUUAAAGGUCCUUUAAUGAAAUAUGCAUAAGACACUUAAAAAAAUUGAAUUUAGGGGAGAGGUUUUUAACUGAGGUUAAAAUAAACUCCAAUAAGUAGUGGAGAUUUUUCUAAACCCUAUAAGUGUUAGAAAUUUUAUUAAAUUUUUUUGAACCCCUGCAUUAUUAAAAACUAUAGCAAAAUUUUAUUAAUUUUUCAUUUUUUCUUUUAUGUUCUGUUUUUCUAGAAUCACGUAAUGCUUUUAACAAUUUCGAAGGCACACAUAUUCGUUUUGUAGAAAAAACUUUUUCUAAUCUUCAUCUCUUCGCACAAGAAAACAUUCUUUGUGUGUACUAUCUUAUGUUUCCCUUUGCCCUAUUUUAUUUUAAAAAUUGAUUUUCUCUCAUUUCUCACGUUCUUUGUGGUGCUUUUGAAAACUCUAUUUGUUCGUCUCUUUGUUUUGCUUCCAAAUGAAAGAUUUUGAAAAAAAGAAAACGAGUCCAUUGCAUUAUCUCAUUCGCAAUCUAAUGUUUUUUUUUCGUGGAAGCGAAAUGUUAGAUAGUUCCUUCAUUUUCAUCCCAAUCUAAUGACUUUGGAAAGAUCUCAAGUACGCUCAAGGUUUGUUUUCAUUUCUCUCACAUAUAAACUCACAUUCACAAAAAAUGAAGGAUUAAUUAUGAGUUUUUGGAUGUAGAUGCUUCACACCAUUUCUUCGAGUGAGAGUGCUGCUUGCAAGUGCUAUUUCUUCAAAAAAAAUAAAAGGUAAACUGAUGCAAAACUAGCUUGUUUUGGUUUCUUCUUUGUUGUAGUUUUGUAUGUUGUGGAAGAAUGGACUUGAAAAUGACAUCAAUGGUUGAAUGGAAGUGUGGAGAAGAUGAAAUGAAGAAGGGAAGUAGUGGCUUAGAAGAGGUGUGGCCAACUUCUAAGAAGAUUCAAGCAAAACACUAAUAGAAGUGCAAACUUGAGAAUGAGAAUUUGAAGACAAACGAGCUAGCAACUUGGGCAACAUUUCAUUAUCAAUUCAAAAUCUAAUUUACUAGGGGGCCAGCACUUGUAUUUAUAGUGCUAUGGGCAUCCAAUGUGCAAGUUUUAACCCUAAAAACUCUCCACUCAUAGAAGGACAAGUGACUCUCUCUAAUUGGAGGAAAUCUUCUCAAAUUAGAGAUUGACAAGUGUCCUCCUCUAAUUGGAGAGAAUCCUCUCCAUUCUCAUGAAGACAAAUGUCCUUUUGGCAUUGGUGGGAAUCCUCUCCAUUAAGGAGAUGACAUGUGGACCAUGCCUUCAUUGCCACUCCAUGCUUUCUAUUUGCACUUUAGUAACUUAUUUGUGCACCCUCGAUGGUCUAGAGUUACAAUUUGUAACUUUAGCUAGACUAUUUCUUUUUCUAUUUACACCCUACUCUAAUUGGCCCAAUACAUGGUCUAAAACAUGGCCCAAGACAAUGGACGAAAUACAAGCCCAAAAUAAGCCUUACACUACUUUGUACAUUGUUUAUAAAACUAAAUAAAAAAUGGAGGAGCAGACAACAAUUAAUUCUCCCUGAGAUGAAAGUCUUUUAAGCUCCUUUUUUUUGCUUCCAAUCUUCUUAGCCAAAUGUUUUGAGGUUAAAUGGUUUUCAACAAAACCCUAAGCAUCAUGAAACUCUUUUAUAAACCCUAAGAAUGGAUAUGCUAGUUUAUGAUGAUGUGUCUAAUAAUUGGGAAUUUUUUAUUUUAAGUGCAAGGAAUUUACUAAAUUUGUUUUCUAAUUGUAAUCUAAAACCGCAGGUUUAAUCAAGGAAGGUGAAGUAGAAUAACUUAGGGCCUUUGUUGAUUUUCUCGUGGACUUGUGCAACUCUGUAUCACCUAUUAGAAUACUUUACUGUUUUUUACCAGUUUUUUUUUUCUUUUCGAAAUGAUCUAUUCAACAUUGGAAUAAUGCAGUUAUUUGGAUUAUAUAGUUUGUUGGGUUUUGGUUAUUUUAAAGCGGUUAGCAUUUUUUCUAUUAGCUUGUUUUUGCAGCUACUUUAUAUAGUUUUUUUUUUCUAUAUAUUCUUGGUAAAUGAAUUUAUGAGAAAUUAUCCAUCUAAGUCUUUUCUUCUUCCUCUCAUUACACCAUUUUUAACCUUAGACAACACACAAAAAAACAUUGUCUGAAGUAGCAAAAAUGUUGCCUUAACUUUAGACAACGCUUUUUCAGGUGUGAAAUACGCAACCGUGAGCUUAGGUUUAAGCAACACUUUUUUGCAGUUGUUGUCGUAUACUGGUAGAAUUAGACAACGUUUUUUGAAAAAAAAAAUUAGGCAAUGGAUUUUCUCAUGAUAUUUAGACAACACAUUUUUCAGUGUUGUCUAUUGUUCAAACAAUAUUUUUUUAAAUGUUGUCAUUGGUAAAGACAACACUUAUUUACAUGUUGUCUAUCUUUUUAGGCAACACUUAUUUACAUGUUUUUCUGUGUUUUAAGCAACACUUAUUUUGUGUUUUCAGUGCUACAUAUUGAUAAAACAUGCAAUGUUUUUUUUUUUCAUAAUCAGCGAUUUUUCUUGUUCCAAAAUCGAAGUGCGCUGUCUAGAAGUUCUAUAUUAUUAAGUCAUGUACUAUGAGUACAUCUUAGUAGUUAGUUAUUAAUUUUGGGAUAUUAGUAGACCAUUGAAGAGAAUGUGCAGCUUUGGUGCUUGGUAAGGUUUGAUAAACCUGCAACAUACAUAGCUUGGUGGCUUCACUUUUUUUUGACAAGGCACGAAUCUUCUCUUCUACUGGUCAUGACAACUCACCGUCGUUUUAAUUAGAGUUGCAUUGCGUUGUCUUUUCUUUAAAAUCUGAGGUUGUUACCAUGUUAACAGUUUGGAGCAUCCGAAGCACUAUUCAUAUAUAUUAUUCUAUUAUUUAUUCAACUCUGUCCACUGCUUUGCUGUUUCAAACUUACAAUGCCAAAUGUUACAUUUCCACUUCCACCCUUCGGCCAUAAAAGAAUGAAAAAGCUUCUCAUCUUUGAAGUUUUCAUAAUUUUAGUGAUUACUAUAUAAUGAUGAUCUCUUUCCCAAACAUAUAUAGCUACAAAGAAAGGGGGCACACAUGCAUAUAUAAAAAACAAGCUCCCGUGGAUGAGUAACUUAAAUGGUUGUCUCUUAAUACAAAUUUUGUCAGGGAAAUAUGAAGCUAAAACUUUGGAUACCAUCUUAUUAAUAUUAAACAAAGUUUAUUAGCGUCAGGCAUUUCUCCUUUUGCAACAAUUGCUACUGCCUUUGAUUAUUCUUAGGAGUUGUGGCCAGUUUACUUUGAGGUUACCCCAAGAAAUCAAAUAUCAUAUGUGAAACUUCGGACCCACGAUUCUUCUGACUUCUAAGGAUUCUUUAUAAAAUAAAAAAACAAAGAAACAAAAACUUUAUGAUCACUGCAUUUCUAGUUUCUUUUGCCUCACUCUGUCUAUAGUUUACUACAAUGCUUUUGCUCCACAGACCAUAAAAUUAACCUGCAUUGUAUGACAGAAACCAAUUACAUAGCAUAAUACACCAAGCACAGAUCCAUACCUUCGGAAUCUUGGUUAACGUAAAACACAUAACAGAGGAGAAGACCAUGUGAAGUAGAGUCAAUCCCAGAGGAUAGGGGAAGUUAAUUUCUUUAGAGGACAAAACCCACUGCAGACACAAAUUGAAAAGAAAAAUUAGGCAUCAGCUACAUAACAACACAACGAUUAAGCAUUUUCUCCUCUAUUAUUAAUUUCUCAAAUGAAUUCACUCACAAACUAAGAAUAGAAUAGAUUAUCCUUGUAUGCAUGCUUGAACUUGAAAAGCUUCUUAAUUUUUGCAUGUACUCUUUCGUAAGAGACAAUAAUCUUUUGUGCAUCAUAAGAUAUAUGAGCUUGCUGAAGAUAAGCCAAUUUCAGAGCUGAAACAGUGUCAAACAUUAUUGUUGGUUUAUUCAUUAUUAUUAUUAUUUUUUUUAUCAGUAAUAUUGUUGGUUUAUUCAUAAAAAAGGAAAUGGGGGCAAGGGUGGUUCUUAGGAAUAUUAGGAAGAUGAUACCACCCAAAAAAACUAAUAAAGCUUGAACAAUCAGAGACUAUAAUUAUUGACAACUAUUAAACUGCAUAAAAAAAUGUAUAGCAUCUUCUGUAAAAAUGGAGAUAAUGAUUACAUUACACAAUAAUUUUUUUUUUUCCACCUUUAUGCUUUGUUUGGAUUAGAGAGUGUUGGGAGUGAAAAGUUGAGGAUGUGGGAAAGUGAAAGUGUGAUAUGUUAGAGUGAUAUGUGAGGAAAGUUGAUUGAAAUUAGUGAAUGAUGUAAUGGUUGUAAGAAUAUUUUAAUUAUUUUUAAUGGUAUAAAUUGUAAGAUUACAAAUUUAUUUUUGUGUAUAAAAAAAAUAAUUUUGUGUACAUUUUAGUUCAUUAAAAUAAUGUAAAAUUUAAUUAUAAAUAAAAGAAUAUAAAAUUAAAAUAAUAAUAAUUAAUAAUAAUAUUAUUUAAUUAUUAUUAAUUUAUUUAAUUUAUAUUUAUUAUCAUUAUUUUAAAAAUUCAUUUUAAGUAACAUUAUUAUUUUAUAAAUUAAUUUUACAUAUUAUUUUUAUUUUAAUAUUUAAACAUUUAUAUUAUUAAUAUUAAUAUAAAAUUUACUGUUAUAAAUAUAUAAAUAUUUAUAAUAUUAUUAUUUAUUUUAUUAUUAUAUUAUAUAAUUAUAUUAUAUUAUUAUAAAGCCUAAAAUUUCAAAUUAUGUAUUUUAUUAGUUCUGAUUAAUAAGAAAAAAAAUAGAUGUACAAUAUAUGAUUAAUUCAUAGGAAAUUUUAUAAAAGAAAUGAGAGUACAUGCGUCAUUACCAUAUUUCUAGGUGACUUUCUUUCUUCUCCCUCUUCUUUCUUUGCACUUGUGAGAAGGAACCUUCAGCUUCCAACCAUCUACUCCCCCGUCCCCACACUCUCAUUAAUCAGCUGAUCCAAUCAAACAAGGGGGUGAUUAGGACAUCCGUCGUCGCCUAUAGUCCACCCCGAGAAACAAACACUACCUUAAACUUAUGUCUCAUGAUGAACAUUUCUGCAUGAGAUGACUCUUUUUCAUUAGUAUCCUUCACUUCCUAUCACAUAAAAGAAAAAAAGAUUAGCGAAAGAAAAAUAAAACCAUCAAUACACUAAUUAUGAAAUUCGCCUAACCUUUCAUAUCGUAUCUCAACAAAAGCUUUAGUUUCUUCUUAUGAUAGUAAAUUUUGCUCUACUUAUUUUGUUCUUCUCACUAUGAACCUUUGUAAUAAAAUCACAGGUUAGAGUUUAGUUUGUAAUAAAAUAGAAUAUGUUCAAUGAUUGAACUGAUAUACCUGAUCCAGGUGUAGGUGUGGUAUUAAUGUCUUUUCGCAGAGAAAAGAAUAUGGCACCGAAUUUGGCCUUGAAAUGAAUGACAUAGUAAAAGAUUAAUAAAGCUUAAGAGAAAUAUCUAAAACAUUAACAUCACAAUCUGAAUCCAAUGGUGAAGCCUUCUAAAGACCACAACCACUGGGCUCAGAGGAACAAAUUUCAAGUCAAUGACACUUUCCGUGAGUCCAAUCUUUCUCAACAUUUUCAUUCAACUUCAUUAGAUCAAACUUAAAUUCAAAGUAAAAUCUUUUAAAUCUCAGUCAUUUGAUUUUCAUCUACCUUGUGUUGUUUGUGUAAGAAAACUCAUAUUACAUUACACAAAACCUAGUUUAAAUUCUUUUUCAAUCACGAGCCAUGUUUUAAAAUAUUUUCAUAGCAAAAAGGAAUUGUUGCAUGAAGAUUUCAAGUACAAGAAAGGCAUUGAUUCGGUUGUGGAGGUGAAGAAGGAGGUUCAUGCAACACUCAACUCUAUUCAAAUGUGAAGGUGAAGAAGGAGUUAUUUUUUAAAUAUGUGGAUCAAGAAUGUCUCACAUAUGCUAUGGCUUUCGAAGACAUUGGUGUCUCAUCCGUGAAUAACUACAUUUCAAAAUAUGGUUGACAUAAAUUAGUUUUAAGAUACAUAUAUGUUCAAGAAUUAUAAAAUUAAUUUAACAUAUCAUGUUACCUCUUUCCAAUCACUUUUAAGGCCUAGUCUUACAAUGGUAAUCAUCCAUUACAUAACGUAAUAGCCACACUCAUAGUUUUUUGGUUGUUUAUUACACUCAUAGCUUCCUGAUUGUUUAUAUCGACCAUUAUUUUAUAUCUUUUGAUUGUGCUAAGAAACUUAAGUUGCCAGUCCGAGAAUUAGAAAUUGAGUUAGUGGUAUCCACACCAACAUAAGGUAUUAUAGUAACUUCUUCUAUGUGUGUUGAGUGUCUAGUAAUUAUAGAUGGGCAGAGAUACAAGAUCAACAUGAUUUGUAUACUUCUAAAAGAUUUGGAGGUUAUAUUGGGAAUGGAUUGGUUGCCUGCUAAUCAUAUCCUUAUAGAUUGUGGUCAGAAGAAGUUAAUUUUCCCUAAAUUAAAAGGAAUGCAGGUUAUCUCAACUCAGCAGUUUGAGAGAGAGAUACAAGAAGGUGCAAAAUGUUUUGUGCUCUUGACUUGUUCUAUAGUUACUGCUAAAGUACUAAAAAAUAUGUUUGUAGUUCAAGAGUUUAUGGAUGUAUUUCCUGAUGAGAUUCCUGGACUUCCACCUAAAAGAGAGAUAGAAUUUGCAAUAAACUUGAUUCCUGAAGCAGGCCCCGUGUCAAUUUCUCCAUAUCGAAUGACACCACUGGAGUUAGCUGAAUUGAAAAAACAACUAGAAGACUUAUUAGAGAAACAAUUCAUUCGACCUAGUGUUUCUCCAUGGGGAGCUCUAAUGCUAUUAGUGAAGAAGAAAGAUGGUUUGUCACGUCUAUGCAUAGAUUACAGACAAUUAAACAAGUUAACAAUAAAGAAUAAAUAUCCUCUUCCUAGAAUUGACGAUCUGAUGGAUCAUUUGCAUGGGGCAGUUGUCUUUUCUAAAAUAGAUUUGCGCUGAGGUUAUCACCAAAUUUUAGUGAAAGCGAAAGGUGUUCAGAAGACUGCUUUUAAAUCAAGGUAUGGUCACUAUGAGUUUCUGGUUAUGCCAUUUGGUGUGACCAAUGCUCUAGCUAUCUUCAUGGAUUAUAUGAAUCGGAUAUUCAAACCUUUUCUUGAUAAGUUUGUGGUAGUGUUCAUAGAUGACAUCUUAAUUAUUCUCGUACAAGGGAAGAACAUGCAUAACAUGCUAAUAACAAAAUAAUCUUCGGAACGAAAGAUUACUCUUUAUUUUCAAUGGUGUUGUUUAUAUAAAUGAUUUAGACAUAGAAGAUUCACAUAACAGUAAAAAUAUAUUUGUUAUAUUUUGAUAAUCUAAGUCUUUGCUAGAAUCCUUUUAUUGUAGGAUUGUUAUUUUAUAAAUAUAAUCGAGAUGUAAUGAUGUUUCUCUUGAACUAAUCUUGUAAGUAUCUAUUUUAGAAUAGUUGUUAUAUGAUAAAAUGAACAAAUUGAAUUGGAGGUUUAUCUCUCAUACACAUUUCUUUUAUGUAUCUGCAUGAUCACGAAUCUCCUCCAAAUUUUAAAUAAACAUAAAACGACAUAAUAGAUUAGAUAAUAUUUUUUUUUAUAACUUAAUUGAUAUGGUGAUCAUACUAUAUUUCUAGUCUAUUAAAAAUGAAAUAGAUAAUUUGUUAUAGUUGGAAUUGAAGGUGAAGAUGGAUUGAUGAACUAAAAGGGUAAUCCAUUGAUUUGGUCUCUCUUUUGAAUUCACACUCUUAAAAGAAAAGGAGUUAAAUUAGGCAAAAAAAAGUUAUUAGUGUUGUGAGAUCGGAGUGCCAUUUAGUUUGUGAAUUGAUAUAUAAUUCAUGUGUGCGUGAGAGGUAUCCCUUACCACGUUCCUUACAAAAAUAUCACAAAACUAACUUCAAACCGUGAAAUACAUACUAUACUACUAAAUUAGUUAUGUCACCACUAACUUGCCCCCUAUUGCUCCAAAACUAAACGUCGAUAUUCAAGUAUAAUAUCUACACUCCCCAAAUGAAAAAUCGCAUAAUAUUCAUGCAACACCUAUAGAUUCAACAACUGAGCUGGCAAAAUUAAUUUUGUUUCACUCAUUUCCACUACCACAAUGAUUAACACUUUUCUGACCCACAACCUCACCCCUCUACUCCUUCGGACCAAUGGAAGGUUGCUUUUCCAUAGUACAUUUAACUCAUAUUUAUAUAUGAAUCACAAUAAUCAUCAUCAAAUACAAUAAAACAAUUUAAUAUAUUUUAUCAAGAUUGUUACGUUAGUCUAAUAACUCAAGCACUAAUUUUUAUGACUUAUUAUUAUUUGAAAUAAAAACAUGUCUGUACCGGUAUGGGGCGAAACCGAUUCCUGGUUUUUUUGACAGAGACCCGCCUGACUGCUCGAUACCUGGUCUACCUGGCCGAGAUCAAGUGAAUCUGGCCGAGACCUACGAGACUUGGCUGAGACGACCGAAACUUGGUCUAGCUGACCAAGACCAGGGAAACCUGGCCGAGACCUACGAGACUUGGCCGAGACGACCGAUACCAUGUAAUCUUGGCCGAGAUCAGGGGAAUCGCCACGGUCGGCCUGGCCAGCCGACCCAUAUUACCGUUAAUGCUCAAGCCAAGGUCAGUGAAGUUAAUCCGUCAUUAAGAAUUAGGUAAUACAAUCCUAAGCAGGUCCACUCUGAUAAACGGGCCCAACAAGGUAGGCCCAUUAGAAUAAUAUAAAUAGCACACAUCCCAAGGAGAAAGGUACGUCAUUUAUUACUAUUCACCUACGAGAGUACUGAUCACCCGCUUACUGACUUGAGCGCGUCGCAUGUACCGAAGAGAAGCCGAAGGACGAGAAGAACCCCAGUUCAUCACCCAACAACCUGACCAACCGAAGAAAGGAGAAGAAGACUUCAAUAAUUCACUAGGUCUGAUCUCCCUAUUAGGAAGAACGUCUUUACUAAUUUAGAAUUAAUUUUGUCUCGGCAAAUCCACUCCAAAGUCAUAAUUGAAUAAGUAAAUGUUAAGUCUAGGAGGGUAGAUGGCAAAAAGAACUUUAUCUUGUCCAUACAUUCAAUGUUGACCUCUUUACUUUUUCUCUUUUGAACGAUAACAGCAUCCAAAACUUAAAAACAGAAAUAAUAACUAUAAAGCAUAUUUGUUCUUUCUUUCAUCUUUGAAAAAGGACCACAUUAAUUGAAAGUGAACAACCGAAAAUUUCGGAAGAUUUAAAGCGGUUGAGCUUGAGUAACAACUAUGGGGCUCCGAACCACGUGCUUCCCAUCGGUCCACGAAAGCGACCCGAAGACCGCUCCGGCCUCACCCAGCACCAUAUUCCCUGCAACUCCCGUCACCGUCACCACGAAACUCCGCUUCUUAACCGCCUCCGAAAACACUAGCCUCGACGGCCUCACCGUCACCGUUACUCCCUCCGCUUGCAUCUCCACCCUCACCCAAUACACCGAAUAUGGCUCACCCACGUUCGUCACAGUCCUGAAGAACGUCUUGCUCAGCAACGACAACCCUCUGGAGGACGACGCUGGCAGGACCGCCACAAAGGACGGGUAGUUCAGAUUCUCAGGCAACGGCCUCCUCCGUGGACAAUUAUGCGGCGAUCGUGUAAUCACCUGAAUCAUCCUGGCCUCGUAGCCAAUGGCACACAAAAACAUGACAUAAUCAUCGUUGGUAAGGUCGUAAAGCAAUCCAGGGUCGAUGGCGUGAGCGAGGUUGAGAUGUCCAGCGCCGAAAUCGUAGGGCGUUGAGCCAUUCCCAGUGGCUUGAUCAACCAUGUGGCCGUUGGUGUUGUCAAGAACCGUUGCGGUUGUCAUCAUUGCAGACCUUAUAGCUGCAGGGCUCCAAUCAGGGUGCGCGGAUUUCAACAACGCCGCUGCCCCACUCACGUGAGGACACGCCAUCGAUGUGCCCGACAAAAUGUUGAACUCGCUUCUUCUGGUGUCGGACUCCAGCCCCGAAGGCCCAACCGCAUCGGUCCACGCCGCCAGAAUGUUAACCCCCGGCGCCGUCAAAUCAGGUUUAAGUAUUUCCAAGCUCAACGCGUUGGGUCCCCGAGCCGAAAACGACGCCACUACGGGUGCCGGUUUGAUUCCCACCACAGUUCCUUUGAAAUCGAUAGUGGCUCUUGGGUUCUCCGAUGAUGAAAUGUAUUCUUUAAUUUCAUCUCCCAGGUUAGCUCCAAGGGCACACGUGGGAAGAAGAUGAGCGUCUCCAACAACUCCUUCACCGUUGGAUAUGCCGUUUGUCAAAAUCAUUCCCACUCCUCCUGCUUUCUUCACCUCCAACCCCUUCGCUACUCUCGGAUUACUUCCUCUGUCGCAAACCACUAUCUUCCCUUUCACAAGGUCUGGGUCUAACGAGUUUUCCAUGCACAGUGAAUCCGUAAGAACCCCUGAUUUUCCCGGAUAUAUUAAGGGAAACAUUCUCCCCUUCAACGGCACUCCGGAGUAGAGAGACACGCCGGAGAGUCUUCUUCCGUUUCCUAAUAUGACCUCCGCCGGAAAAUCGCGAUCAAUGGUGCCUGCUCCGACAGUGAUCAGCCAGGGUGCAAGGUUGGUCACCGACAUUCCACUGGGCCCGUCAUUCCCACCCGAGGAUGACACAAACACGCCUCUGGAAACUGCACCGUAGGACCCUAUCGCAAUUGGGUCAAGAUAGUAAGGAGAGGAAAUGCCGUCGCCGCCGCCGAUGGACAUGGAAAUGACGUCGACGCCGUCGUUUAUGGCAGCGUCAAAAGCAGCGAGUAUGUCGGAAUCAAAGCAACCAGAAUUCUUCCAACACACCUUGUACAUGGCAAGUCUCGCUUUGGGAGCCACUCCCUUUGCAACUCCAGAAGCAUAUCCCGCCAUGUUGGCGUCGAAAACGUAGCGGCCCGCGGCUGUUGAGGCCGUGUGGGUUCCGUGACCGUCAGCGUCCCUUGGCGAAAGGAAUUCGACGGUGUCGUUAAGGGACGUGCCACUUGCCUCGUGACCUUUGGAGAAGAACCGCGCACCGAUUAACUUCCUGUUACAGUUAUUGGGAGAAAAUCUUACACCUGCCUCGCAACCCCCUUUCCAGCGUUCAGGAAUGGGGCCAAGGUUGGAAUCGCUGAAGCUCCGGCGCUCCGGCCAGAUUCCGGUGUCGAAGACUCCAAUGAUGACGUCGGAUCCGUAGUCAGUUUCGGACCAGAGUCCGCGCUGGUUUCUGAGGCCAACGAACUGAGGAGAGCGCGUGGUGUGAAGGUGGCGGCGGCGGUCUUCGAAGACAGCGAGCACGGAGGGGUGCUGGGCAAGAGAAGAGAGUUGUUGGUGGGUAAGGAGCGCUGAGAAGCCGUGGAAAACGGUGUCAUAGAGAUGGAGAAUGCGAGUUGGGUGGACGAACUCGGAGGUGUACCAGUGGUAGUGCGUGGGAUAAACGGAGGGUUUGGAUUCUGAAUCGAUUCUGAAGAUGAAGGUUUUGGAAAGUUGAUCAUGCGGUGUUACUUGAGAAAGUAAAGUGAAGAGAAUGAUGAAGAAUGUGCAGGAAAGUAACGUUGAAGGAGCACGAUACACCCUAUUCGCACCCAUUUCCUUCACCAUUUUUCUAUGUCUGGGUGUCUCAGUGAUGAGGACUCAUAUAAAUACAACACAAUAAUCACAGUAAUCAUACCAUUUCACUUUUCUUUCUUCCCUCUUCCCUCACUCUUUUUCUUCCAUUUCUCACACUCUUUCUAUACAACAACUUCCAAUAUAAGAUUCUCCAUUAUCCAUUUUUCUUUCAUCUACCUAAAUUUAACACUUCAUAUUUAUAACUAAUUAAUUAAACAAAACUAAAUUUUAUUUAUCAAUUUUUUCACUUUACAUAUGUAGAGAUCAAAAGUUAUGUUCACAUUGGUUAAAACCCUUUAGAAUUGACCUUUUAUUAAUUCUAUUACUGUUUAUUUAACUAUGAUGAUGUAACAGAUCAUGCAACUAAUGAAUUACUGUAAAAAAAUGGUGCUUAGAAUUUCAUGGUGGAUGUUCAUGGUCACUUCCUUGCUUUGCAUAUUGGACAAACAAUAAUCUAUUAAAAAGCACUGUCACGGGAUUCCCUAAUUAUGCCUUAACUAUUCCAGUAGGCUAUGAUAAAGGCUUAAUUUUGGAUUAAAAAAAGUGAUUUUCCUAUUAAAAUCAUAAUUUUUCUUGGUUAUUAUUAUUUUUAAUUAAAACUAGCCAUAAUUGUUAAGAUGGAGUUUUUAUUUUAAUUUCACAACAACGUUACUAAUUAUAUACCACGUCUCUUCUUACUUAUAAGUAAAAAAAAAAACAUAUAUUACUUAUUUAAAUAUAAGAUAAAUGUUAAUUACUUUUACUUCAUGUGAUAAUAUUUUAUUUAAAAUGUUUUAAUUUUAAUUAAUGUAUUACUCUAAUAAAAUCAUUUAAAAAUUAUUAAAAAAUGAAUAAAAUAUAAUAAACUUAAUUUAUUGUUUUAAUUGGCAUCCACUUUAGUUUUUCUUCUUCUUAUAUACUAUCUCUCUUUAUAUAUGUAUUUAUGAUUUUCUAUUGAAUCAAUAUUUUAAUUAAUUGAUUCAAGUUAUCUAGAAAAACAACAGUUUUUUUACGGAUAAAGACUAAAUAUUAGUUUUUUUUAUCUAAAAAACAAUAAUUAAGUAUUUUUUAUUCAAAUAUGUAAAAGUACCUGCUUUGUAAUUUUGAUUAUGCUCAUAUAUUCUUCUUAAUUAGAAAAGGUUAUCAUAUCAAUAAAUUAAUUUAUUAAAAUAUGUAAAAUUACACUCAUUUGUGAUUUUUUUUUAUCGUGUUCAGAUAUAACUUUUUAAUCAGGGCUUAAAAACAACUAAAAAAGCACUUAAAUUUGAUAUGAAAGUGAGUGGAAGCGAGCAUGAGUCCACCAUUUUGUAACUCUGUUAGAAAAGAAGUCAGUGGUAAAUCGUAGUUAUUGUGGAUAGAGUUUAUUAGGAGUAAAAACAAAUGAAAAUAAAAAAUAAAAAAAAUGAACUUAUCAUUCCUAUAUUUAAUAAUGUCAUUAUAUUUGACGGCUUACUUACGUAUUAGCAAAAAAAAAACAUAUUUAUUAAGAACGUGUAUUCCUCUGAACUUUAAUUAAUAUACUUAGUAAAUUUAAAUACAGAGAAUUAAAUUUAUUUAAUUAAUAAAAUGUAAAUUAGCGUCUCUAUUUAAUAUUAUUUUUUAUCAGUAAAUUUAUUUAUAUAUAUAUAUAUAUAUCAUUUUAAAAAUAUUCUUCAAUUUAAACCUAAGCAUAUAAUUAUGGAUAGUUAAUGAACUGCCAUUCCUUUUUAUGAAAUUAAGAAAAUUAAAUAAAUUUAAGUAAUAUUCUUAAUAAGUGAAAAAUUAGAUCUUUUGCGUAAAACUGUUUGAAUCAGAAAUUAAAAACAUUUUCUUAAAAAAAUACAUGUGAAAACGUAUUAAAAAAUCAGAAGAGACAAAAUUUGGCACAGUUAAUUUCCUUUUGGUUAUAAUUGAUGAAAAAUGUUAUUUUUAUUGAGAGUGAAUAUAUUGUAUUUAAAUAUAUUAAGUAUUUUAUUCUGAAUUAUUUAGCUGGGUGGAUGAAAGCGCAUAUCAUGAAUGUGCGAUGAGUUAUCUUCUGAGUGUCCCAUGUACUUCACGCAUUCUUCUAUCGUCAUACUGCAAUAAAACUGUCAUGUAAUUUUCUCCUCUUAUCUACUUCCAAAUAUAAACCUUCGCAUAAAAGCCCUAAUCAUCAUUUUCUACUUUUUCAACCUUUUCUACUUUUUCUACCCACCCACAUCUACAACUUUUACAAAAAUAACUAAAUAUUUUCUUUCUUCCAAAUUUUUUAUAAUUUAUGCCAAUAUAAGUGAUGUUAUUGUUUUGGAUAAUCAUUAAAUAAUAAUCCAAAUUUUUUAUAUAAUCAAUACAACUCCUUAUAUAUUUUGUACCGGUAUCCCUGCCCGAGACUCAAGUGGUUGACCGAGACCUAGUCAACUUAAUUAAGAUUGAGGAAAAACUGGCCGAGACCGGAGAGACUUGGCCGAACCGAAGAGGCCGACGGUCUACCUGAUCGAGACCUUAGAAGACCUAGCCGAGACGGCCGAAGGAAGAAGGAGAAGACUUCAAUAGUUCUCUAGGUUCCAUCUCUAUAGUAAGAACAUAUUUUAAUAUUUUUUAUAUAAUUUAAUUUAAUUUUUAUUUUUUAUUAUAUCUUUAUUUUUAAAUUUGUCAUAAUUUAAUAUAACUCUAAAGAUUGUUAAACUGUAUUUAUAGUUUUAUCGCUUAAUAUAAACAAUUAUGUUUAUUGAGAAUGUAAAAAUAUUUUCAUAAAAUUGUAGAAAUAAAGAAAUGUAUCUAUUGUUUCUAUAAUCUAUGUGUAAUAAAUUGCUGAUCAAUGGGGAAGGAGGUAGUAAAAUGCAUAUAUGAUUUAGUAGUGAUAUCAUAAGUAACACAUAACUCACAAAUCAAAUUCAAGUGUGACAAAUAAGUAAUGUUGGUCAGCCAAUUUUUAUUUUAUUUUUUCAAAAAUAUACACAUCUUAAAUAUUUUAUAAUUUUUUAUAUAUUAAAUUACUCAAUUAUUGAAAUUUAACUUAUCAUUUCAAUCUUAUAUAUUAAAUUUCUUACUUCUUUCAUUUCUUCUUUAUUUCUGAGAUUCCAUCAACCCUACUUAAAAAAAAGUGGAAAAAUGAUUUUGUUUGAGAAAGUGAAGCACGAUGAGGGCUAGUUGAAGGGUGGCGCACGCUGAUCACGGCGGAGCAUAAGCAGUGUAGUUCUGUAACUGCCAAUUGUGGGUCCCGCUCAUAAAAGUGUAUGCGGUUGUUGAAUGCUGACGUCAUCGCUAAAUUUUGCUUAGUUGGAUGGAUAGGAUUUGAGAAGCUUCCAUCUCUCAUAACUAAUCUUUUUAUCUUUCUACCUUUAAAAUGCAUUAAAGAGAUCAAAACUGUGUCGUUGUUCAGUAUUAAUUCUUAUAUUUAAUUUAUUUAUAUAUUAAUUUCACUUUUUUAUAUUUUCCAUUUUCAAGAGUCUUUUACACAAAAGUUACUUUAUACCUUUAAUUUACUUCAUUUUUUAUGUGUAGACAGUAUAUUCCACCAAGUACUUUUCAUAGUGUUAACAUUCACUUAAAUUUAUAUAAUCUAUGCCUAGGUUUUACUUGCUUGAGGGUAAAACUGGAGAUAAAGUCAUUUUUUAAGAAAAUAAUUUAUUGGAGAAUACAGAAACUAAAUUAUAAUAUAUAUACGUGUAAUGACAAAUACAGUAUACAAAUAAAUCAGCAAAUAGUCAUAGUUUUCUUUAAAAAAAAUUGGCAUUAGUUGUUUCACAUAACAACGACCGAAAUAAAAAAAAAAUACGUAUACAAUUCAAUUGAAAAUUUUAAUAUAGUUAAAUCACAAUUCAAAAACCAAAACCCUUGCAUUUGUGCAACAUUUGUGUUACACAUAAACUAACACGAUACGCGACACGGAAAUACAAAUCUAGAUACGAGGAUACAAAUCUAUAUAUUAUAUAAUUAUGAAUUAUAUAAAUUGACAAUAAAGAUUUACGUGCACAAGUAUAUUCUAGAUUAUUUUUUGCAGCAGAUAGAUGUUUUUCAUGACUGGUUCACAAGAAUUUGUUUCUUAUUUUUAUAAUCAUAAUAACAAUUUAUACAAUAAAGUUUGAAUUUUUAGAAAAUUAAUAUAUUUUUUCUUUUUAAAAUUGUGUUAGAACCAUACUAGAAUUGUCAGAAAUCUAACAAAUACUUUUUGAAUUUGACACUUCACAGAUACGUGUCUUACACGUCAUUUAAGAGGAGUGUCCAAACUUCACCGCUUACAUCUAAAAAUUGGAUGCAUAUAUAUAAUUAUAGAAAUGAAGAAACACAACUUUAGGAUAAUAUAAAAGAUUGUAUUUAAGGAUAUAUACAUUUGUAAAAUUUGAAAUAGAUUAAAGGUGGAUAGUGAAACAAGUAAUACAAUAUAUACCUCAAAUCCUUCUACUCGUAUAUUUGAAGGGCGAAGGCGGAUAUUAAAGUAGCUUAUGAUGAUGUUAAGUUAAUUACUUGUUAUCACUAGUUAUUGCAAAACUAAUGUUUAAACGUGCUUAUUUGAACUAUUUAUUGUUAAACUAUUUUACUUAUUAUGAACCAAAUUUCUUUGUGUACUAAAGUUAAGAAAUAUUAAAUUAGUGAAGUGAACUAAUUUUUUUAUCUGAAAAAAAUGAAUAAAUAGAAGCAUUUUAAAUGCUCCAACCUGUUACACUAAAUGAAAUACAAUCUCAACACAUGUGUGGCAAGUGACAUAGAAGAGUUGUUAAGUGAAAAUGUUUGAUGAAUAGUUAAAAAAUGUGGUUUUGAAGAACUUAACACAGUAGAUAUAGUAUUAAUGUGAUUUAAUAUUACACACCCCACUUACAUAUACAUGAGCUUCAACCUGAGAAGUCUAUGAUAGAAAAUAAAAAAGAUGGGAAGUGCAUAGAAAGAUUAUAAUAAGCUUAGAAUUGAAUGAUAAAAUUGAAUUAUUUGGCAAUGUCUCUAAUUACAUCGAAACCCAUCUCCGUUGGAUCCGUGGCUUGGAGUUCAUAGCUGAUUCCAUCCAGUGCUCUUCUCAGCCCAUCCUUGGAAGUUGCGUACAGAAUCUUUGCUCUGAUUCUGGAAGCUGUUGGAGACCUGAUAAUACACAUAUGUAUCUAUUAAUUACAAUUCAAUUACUCCAUAAUAACUAUUAAAUAAUAUAGGUUAAUUGAAUGAACCGGGUCCCCUAAAAACACCCUUUUAUUUACGCAUUAUUGACCCAUUAUUAUUACUACAACUGUUAAUCCAGAGACACUGGGUUGGCUACUUUUGUUUGUAUGCAGAAAAACGCAAAGAAAAUUAAUUGGAGCAGAGAGAGGAAGCACCAUGCAAUGAAGAAGAUCUUGCUCUUGCGGCAGUUAUCAACGGUGACGAAGUCGAAGUCGAACACCGCAUAUCGGCAAUCAUCGGUGGGCAAGGAAGCCGUGAGAUCGUGGUAGCCGUCGGUGGGGCCACCCAGUUUAUCAACGGUGACGAGCCUGGAUCCUUCGUCGAUCUUGAACACUAUGUAUCUGUGCUCCUUCUUCCAUUUCAUAUCCAUGAACGACUUCUUGCACUCAUCCGUCACCCACAUUCCAGUGGUCGCCUGAAAUUAAUUAAUUAAUUCAUCAUCAGAACAAAUGAGGAACAUCUACAGAAGCUACCUAAGUCUAAAGUACGCAUGAAUUUAGAAGAUCAGAGUAGAGAGUGAAAUUACCAUCUUGAAAGCCAUCGCCAUUUUUUUUUUCUCUCCUCAGAUUUCAGUAAAUGGUUGGUCGGGUGGUAUGAGAGCAACAGCUGGCCCUAUAUAUAAAACUUUAUCUGCUCAAAUGCCAUUCGCCUUCCCUCCUAUUUACACUCUUGUCCUCCAUUUUAUUUGCUGUCAAUUUCUUAUAAUUCAAUUACUAUUUUUUACUUUAGUAUAUUUCUAAUCAAUAUAUCAUACCAUUUAUUAAUAUAACUAUGCAAAAAUAUUUCAAAUAUAUACUACAUCCUACAUAUGAAAGGAGAACAAACUUUUUUUCAUUAACUUUAUUUUUUAAGGAAAAUACUUUGAUUAUAUCUUAUGUGAUUUACCUAAUUAUUUUAAUAUAUAUAUAUAUAUAUAUAUAUAUAUAUUACAAAAAAACACCACUAUAACUGGCUUAAUAAUAAUGAAAUUGAUAGUUAAAUAAUGUGAAGUGUACUGGUAUGGGCGAGACCGGUUUCCUUGACCGAGAUCAGGGAAACCUGACCGAGACCAGGAAAAUCUGACUGAGACUAAGGAAAUCUGGCCGAGACGAUGGAAACCACCACAGACGGUCCGACUGACACAUAAAUUCAUUAACGUUCAAACCAAGGUCAGUGAAGUUAAUCUGUUAUUAAGGAUUAGGUAAUACAUCUAUAAGUGUGAUCCAUUCCACUAAUCAGACCCAAUAAGGUAAACCCAUUAAAAUAAUAUAAAUAACACACAUUCCAAGGAGAAAGGUACGUCAUUUAUUACGAUGCACCUACCCUAAUAUUGAUCACCCACUUUACUAACUUGAGCGUCAGAGUGUCUUCUGCAGGUACCCCAUUCGGUGUUCACCCAACAACCUGCUCGACCGAAAGAGGAAGACGAAGACUUUAAUAAUUCUCUAGGUCUCAUCUCUCUAGCAGGAACAUGAACCAAGCUAAAUCUUUUCUUUAAAUAAAAUAUAAAUUAUAUGAUAUAUUUUUUCUAUAAAAAAUCAUGAUAAAUUUUUUUAUUGGAUCGUAUUUUUCUUGCAAAAAUUAUAUAAGAUCAGUAAUUUGUUAUUAUGUUAAAACUAUAAGGCAUAAUAAAUGGAGUUAACCAUAGAAGGUAAAAUUUAAGAUUUUAAAACCAAUAGUACAUAUACAGAAACACUUUAUGUCUCGGAAAGAAAAAAUGUUGGAUGUAAGUGGGUCUAUAAGAUAAAGCAUAAAUAUAAGAUAAAGCAUAAAUGUGAUGGAACAAUGGUCAAUAAGUGGAGUUUAUCCAAUUAAUUUAUGUCUUAAUCUUUACAUCGUUGAUUAAGUUCAACAUUUAUAAUUUGCACACACCAAAUUGAGAAGGAACGAUACAAUUAUUUUCGCGAUUCAGAUUUUUAGUCUAAACUUUAACUGAAGCUAUAUAUAAAAGAGUUUACACUAUCUUUAAUUCAAAAUUCUAAUUCAAAAUCUUAAAACAAUAAUGAAUUUAUGACUCAUUCUCUUUACUUCACACUCACGAUUUUCUUUUAUAAAUGUCAAUAUAAUAUAUUAACUACAUUACUCUAUAGAGUUAAUAAUGUCAUAAGCUUUCAAUAAAAACAUACUCUCUAAAAAAAAUUCAACUACUAUUAGAACUCCAUUUCGUCAACAUUUUUAAAAGUUCCAACAAUACUAAAAAUAUGGACAUCUUGAGUGAGAACAUCCACAUUACAAGUAUUUUUUGUUCGUAUAAAUUUUUUAAGGUUUGAUUUUAUUUCUUAUAAAAUUUAAGAGUAAAUUAUUAAUACGCUAUGAGGUUUUUUCUGCCUUUUUUUAUUAUUCUUAUAACGAUUUUUUUAUAAGUGUUAAAUAAGGUGUAUAAAGUGCGAUUGGUCAGUGGACCGAUGAAGUAAUAGCUCAAAGUUUAAAAUUUAAUUGUAAUUGAAUUAUUGGUUAAACUUGCAUAAUAAAUAUUAAAUUUUAAAAAUAAUAUAAUAUGAAUAACGUAUAAUAUUAUUAACUAGAUGAGCAUGAGAUGGUUUAGGUUAUAUUUAUGCUUUUUCGUACUCAACUUGAAUUUUGUUAGGUGAAUACAAACUCAAGUAAGACAUGAUAGUAUACUAAGUAAGACAAAGUAAAUUCAAUUUAUUAACAUAAUUUAUAAAUAUUAAUAAUGGCUAAACUUAAAUUUAACUAUAUUUUAAAAUUUUAUAUUUCAAAAUAUAAAAUAAUAUUAUCUAUUAAAUUGAAGAAUUUUCUUAUUAAUAUAUGUUGAUAAUAUUUCUAUUUAGAAAUGUCAUAACAUUGAAAUUUAGAAAUACAAAAGCAAUGCUUGGAAUUAUAAGUAUCAACUGAUUGAACCUUUUUAGUAAUUGAUUCUAACUUACGAUUAUGAUAUGAUUAAAAUAGUAAGACGAAUUUGAAAGUGUAUGAGAUAUUAAAGUUUUAAAUAAAUGACAAAAAUAAGAUAAUAAAUAAAGAACUAGAAUUGAACUUAGAAAUUUACGAAAAUUAAAAUCAUACUUCGAAUUUAUGGAAAAGAAUAUGAAACUUACAAAUUUAGAAAUUUAGACUGAAAUACUGUUGUACGUGCUACAAUCAAACUUGAUCUCUGUAAGUCUAAAACUAGACUAAAAAAAAAUUCUAAAGAAAAAAAAAAUCGUCAUAUUGCACAUGACAACUAUCUCAUCUAAAGUGUAGAGAUAGUACUAAAAGAUUAAACCUGAUAGAUUUUUUUAAAAAAAAAUGAAAUAUGAAAAAUCAACAGUUUUGAAAUAAAAAAAAACUAAAAAAAGACUUGUAUACAUUAUAAGGACACGUCGGUAAAAAUCACAAAAUCAUGCUAAUGAGCAGGAAAGUACGACGUACAAAAUCCAAAUUCUAUGGAAACAAUACUUCAUUUAAUUUCUUUUCUAUUCUCUACAGAAUAUAAACUUUGUGUUAAUCUAACCUGCGAAAUACAAUGAGUAAAGCCAAAGAAAGUAAUGAACUAGAAAAAAAUGCACAGUAUUGUUAGAAGGGAACGGGGGAAUCUGAGCAACGAAAAUUCCUAAACAUUUUACAGGGGAAAUUUAAUACUAUGAAACAGAAACAGAAAUCUAAUUUAUUGCCGCUUCAAGAAUGAAACUCUUCGUUCCUCAUCCCACAGACUCUUGGGUAUCUCUCCAGAGUCCAGAGUCUGCAAUGACUACUUUCUUUCUGGGUUUCCCAUUGUAGGUUCCAGCACCCCCUUCAAUUGCAAACACAGUAUCCAUGCCUUGGACAACCUUCCCAAACACAACAUGUUCUCCAUCUAACCUGGAAAGUUUGCAAAGCCAAUUCAUAUCAAUUUAUCAUAACAUGAAACUCUGACUUUCAGUAAAUUUAGUUUCCGCAUGCAACAUUACAAAUAACAUUUUGGCCAAAUUAACAUGGUUGCCUCAGAAAAAAAAAAAAAGGCUGUUUGUUUGUUCACAACUAAUGGUAACUGUACUGAUAGGGUCCGCACAACCGACACUCUGACUCGGCAUCCGGUCCAAACUAACCAACACAGCCAAAACCAUUACGCCUAAAUAAGGAUUAACGAGACUAAUCAGCGAUCAAUCACUAGGCAAUGCACUCCUAAUCAUGAUCCAACUCCCUAAUCCGGCUCAAUAACAAAGGUCCCAUAGUAAUCAUACAAAUAGGCAUAAAUUCCAAAAAUCAAGUACGUCAUUAUACAGUACUAAGAACACCAAAUGCCGAAUACCGAAUUCUCACUUAUGCGUCAGAGUACUUUUUGCAGAUACCAUCCGAGCCUAAAGCUAACGAGAAAGAGGAGCGGAGGAGAGUUCAGCUGAGAGGAAAGAAUAAGGUGCAGACCAACCGACCGAAAGAGUGUCCGAAUCGUUUUCUUGGUUCCAACCCCGUUCGAAAAUAGUAACAACCUAGCUUCUGAUCCCUUACUAGAAAAACACUUUUUUUCCGGUUGGCUGGAGAGGAGAAUUUCACAGAAGAGCACAGAUGGUUCGAAUUCGAAAUGAUAUUAAAAAGAGUGAUGGAUUGACAGGACUAGGGAUUGUCUGAAAAAUUUCCCUAAAUGGUGGAAUAACUUACCAACCGGUCUUCACUGUGGUAAUAAAAAACUGUGAGCCAUUGGAAUCCGGACCUGAAUUCACCAUAGAGACUACACCUGCAACCGUGAAGCAUAUUUACAACAACUUAAUCUUACACCUAGAAAAUGAAGAAAAAUAUCAACACAACAAGUCUUUUUUUUUAGAAAAUAAGAUAAAAUGCUUGCAUCCAAGCAAAUCUGUUACUGACCCGCAUGUGAAUGUUUUAUCUUGAAAUUCUCAUCAGGAAAGGUACCACCAUAAAUAGAUUCAUAUCCUCUACCAUCACGGUGGACAAUGUCACCACCCUGAAACAUGAAACCUGAUAUUAUCCUAUGAAAUGGUGUUCCUUUGUAGUGAAGUUUAACACCAUUGGCAUUCUUUCCUUUCUCCCCUGCACAAUAUGCAAUGCUCAUAAUCAGUAUGUAAACAACAUCGAGGUUAAAUUAACAAAAACAACAUGUAGACUCCAAGUACCUGUGCACAGAGCUCUAAAAUUUUCUGCAAACACAAGAUUUUUAAUCAAUUAAAGUUGCAAUACACGAGGAUAAUACAAGUGUUAUUCCAUUACAUCUAAUGAGGUAAGAAACUGGGUAAUAGACUAAAGAAUUGGAUUGUGAAAUUAAUGACAUACCCACAGUUUUUGGUACAACUUGGCCAUAUAAUCCAAUGACAAUCCUACCUGCAUUAGUUAGUCCAUUACAAAUGAGAACAAUUGGUUAAAAAUUAUAAAAACCAGUAUGGUUCCAAAUGAGAACAAUUGGUUAAAAAUUAUAAAAAUUGCUCCAAACCUAAACGUUGUCCAUCAAUAUCAACAUCCAAGAAUACUCUGUCUGUAAUUUCAGGCUCUUCUUCUUCUUUCUCUUCAAACUACAUAAGUAAAGGUGAAUUUUAUUAUUGACAUAACACUAACCAGCCAAGAUGGGAAAUUUAAGUGGAAGUGGAAAAAAGUUUACAAAUGAAUGAAGCAUCAAUUUUCAAACAAAAUGCUUCAAAAACAAGUGUAAUUUGCAAGGGUUGUGGCUGGUUCUCUUAAUAAAAGUGUACAGCCAUAAAGGGAUAAAGCCAGGUUAUGGAGAAAGCAUAGUAGGGUUAUAUGAGCCUUAAUUAACUUUUUACUUUUAUUCAUAAUUAUAUUAGUUCCAACAUUGUUUACUCUCAUGAAGUUUAUUGAGUUACACAUGUCUAGAGCUGGGUAUUUGGACAAAAGCCUGCAGACUACCCCUAUAACCCACAAUCUGCAUGGGUAUUUAAGCUAAAAAUUGCAUGCCGGUUUUUAAAACCCGCAUCCAAUGUAAAAGAAUGUCAGUAUUACAACACAAACCAUUAGGUUUUCAAUUUCCUAUUGUUAACUUUCACCAACAAAAAGUUCAACAACCACGCUCCUUAUUCCACUUUGAUUCACAUCCAACUUCCACAUUCCAUUGCUGUCACCACUACCACAUCCAGAGAGGUUUUCUGAGUUUGCCUUAGAUUUGAAGAUUCAACGCGUGUUUUGUGGCUUCGAUUCUGACACCGAAAACUUCUCUGCUUGCCUUAGUCCUUGAAGUCACGCACAGCCAGAUUCCCUUACUCAACUCCUUUUUAUGCCAAUAUGUUAACGUCUACUCGUUUCGGUUUAGACUCAAUUGUUUGAUUCAAUUUAUUUUUACUGCUAGUUAUGUGUCUCGCUGAUCUUUGCUCUUCUAAAGGACUUACCAUAUAAAUCUAUUUUUUGCACAAUUUUGUAACCUUGAAUCUAUAAUUAGAAGUGUUGUUUGUAGAAUUUAGUGGUGACAAUGUUGUUCACAAAAUUUUAUUUAUCAAUGCUUCUUGCUCUUCCUUUGCCUUUCAUGUUUUAAUUAUCACAAGUUAAUUUCAUAAGAUAUCAAUAAAUGUUUCAAAUUGAAAUAUGAAUUUCUCUGAUCAUCAAUUCAAUGAAACUAUUGCUAUGUUGGAUGAAAUAAAUACUCAAAGAACUCAAGUAACAUCCUCUAAUCCUGAACUUGAACUUAAAAAAUCAAAAAAGGUCUAAGGGAUUGACAUCUUAUGUAUGGAAUUAAUUUGAUAAGCCAAUAAUAUAGCUCCAUGCAAGUCUUAUGGGAAUAAGAUUAGAGAGUGAAAAAUUGGAAGAAUCUAGCACAUGAAGGAUGUAAUUAAACAUAAAUGAUGAAUGAAUAUAAUGUUUGGAACUAUUUUAUAUUUUAAUAUGUAAUUUAAUGCUUAAUGCACUUGUAUUUGAAUUUAGUUUACUUUAAGAAACACUUAAAGUGUGUUUGAAGUAUAUUAAAAUUAUUUUUAAUUAUAUUUGUGUAGGUGAAGGUAAGCCCGUAUAACAAGUGGGUUUGCAAGACGGGUGCAGUCUAUUAAAAUAGAAGUUUGUUUAAGAUGCAAGCUAUGGAUGGACAUUUUUUAAUGCGUUAUUGCGGGUGCAGGUUUAAACAGGUGGGCUCAACCGCAUACACAAAUCUACUUAUGCCACUAAUUUUUUCCAAAUAAAGGAUAGUUAGAUAGAAAUUCAACCACAAUUGUCCGACAUGAACAUUCCUCAUGCUGUUUUAUAAAAUUUCUAACUCUUUUCUCCAUUGGCAACAUUACUCAAAAUUUCUCUGUCCCUCACUGCACAUGAAUAUAUGAUUAAUAUGGUGGAUAAAACAACCCCGCCUAAAGCUUAAAUUUUAAGGUUAAAGCUUAUGAAUGGCUUCACUAUAUCUCUUAAUGCUUAUCCAAAGUCAUGAACUUGAAGCAUGGACAAGUACAUUCCUACUCUACCUUAGCUGAAACUCAACUUAUGCCCAUUGAGUCUUAAAGAGGCUGAUAUUUGAUAACUUAUCAAUGACCAACUCUCCUAACACCUAUCCUAAAAGGUUAAAUUGUUAGGCUAAGAAACAUGAUUACUUCCCACUUUAGACAAUAGAUUUUUAGUUUGAAGUAUAGAUAACACACAAAACCUACUUCGUCAUAUACUAAAAAUGAGAUAGGCAAGAAUCAAACUCCUGACCAGUUGGUCAAAACCUAAAAUAGGCUCUAAUCUAAUACACAUCAAUAGCUAACACUCCUAAAAACUUAAGCGCUAAAUCCUUCUGGGGCGUCUUUUUACCCAGAUCUUUCAUCUAGUAUUGGCUUCUGAUUACAACUGACUAGACAUACCAAGGAGUAAGAAGUGCUACAAAAAGAUUGAAUGGUAAAGAAACGUAAAGAGUUAAAUCUAAACUCUCUGGAUCAAAUUGAAAAUAAAAGGAUAUAAAUAUCUCUUGUAACCAAGGCUAUCAAAGUUGAGAGUUUAUAGGUGUGUUUGAUACACACACCAAGGUACAACACAAAAACAACAAAGGACAACUACUCAAGCCAGAGGACAACUUUUUGUCUCGUACCUUAUUUGAUGAACAAUGUACAAUAGAAACAUUAUAAUGUGAGACUUAUAGGAAUGCCCUUUCAUUGUUGUCCCCUUCGUCUUCUCUCAUUCAUAUCCUUUAUCAUCUUCUUUUCCCUCCAACUAUUUUUUUUUUGUUUUUAUUUAAAUUGUUUCAAUAUAGCAUAAAAUUACUUGUUCAUAUUUGAUUACAGAUCGUGCCAACAUCAAAUGAUGGACAUUAAUUGGACUAAUUGAUGGAUAAAAAUCUCAGAUGUUGAUGAAAUGAUCGGCAAUGUUGGGUCACUCUGAUGAUAUUGUUGGAAAUCUCACAUCGUUUAAAGAUAUGGUCAAAUAAUAAUAUAUUGGUAGGUGCAAAUCUCACCUUACCAAGCCAGUUUUGUAAGGUUAAACUAGACUUAAAGUUUCCUUUCAUAUUCUAACAAGGUUUGUUGGGCCCUAUUAUGAGACUCAUUAUUGGAUCACCCACAAAUAUCUAGUUACAUGCUCAAGAUAUCCAAUCCUUGAUGUUUUAGAGAUCACACAUCAUCUAGAGAUAUGGUCAAAUAAUAAUAUAUAGGUGAAUGCAGAAUUCACCUUACCAAACAGGUUUAGUGAGGUUGAGAAAGACUUAAAAUCCACUUUCAUAAGAGAUACUUGCAUGUAUAUACUGGAAGCUCUUGGCAUAACUCAAAGGGAAAAGGAAAUCAGAAUGGGAUCAGGAACUUGCAGGGGAAAACUGGAAAAGACUAGAAUCUCAAAUACCAUAUGAGGAAAAGAUCUUGGUGAUCAUGACCAAGUAAGACAUGUCAACAUUCUCAGCCACACUGGGCAUGUCUAUAAUUGCAGCACUAGCAGGUCCUCUUCAUUCAGCAAUAACACCAGCACAUGUACCUAUGAAGAGAACCAAAAAUGGCAGGAAGUGGCACACCUUAAGGACAAAGUAGACGCGUGAAAGGGAAAUGAUUAUAAGAAGGACAGCUUUGACUUUUCAUUUUCAUCAUGCACGUGACAAAAAGUUGUCCCAUGAUUUAGUGAGUUACAAACUUUUAUACCUUUGUUUUCUCCCUCAUCACUUGUUUUGUUAUGUUCCUUAACCAUUUUUUAAAUUGAACGGAACAAAUAAUUUUGUGCAGUCUUUGUCCCUAUCUAAAUUCAUGGAGACUCAGCAGAAUCAACUCAAAGCAAGAGUUCACCUAACAUAAAAAUAAUGCUUAAAAUAGUUAUUAAAACUGUUUCAACAUGUAAUACAAAUAUAUCACAGUUCAACUCAGUUUAAACCCCAUUCAAACUGGGUCAUGACAUCUUAAAUACAUAGCCAUUCAAAAUAUGCUACUCAAAUUGUUACCUUAUUAGUUGCUUGUCGAACUGGCUAGUCAAACCUGAGUUUCACAAUACUAGUUGCUGGUUAAAAACUGCUGCAUUCUGAGCAAAAAUAAUGUGACCCAAAAAGUUCUCAAACUCAACCCAUGACUCACAAGUUAAUGCAACCUAAUCUAUGUCUAUCUUGUUCCACCCAAGUCUUUUCACCAUAAAGUUUCAUGUAACAGUUACAGAACUUGUUUCCCCUGGUGGAAAUGUAAAUUGGUUAACCCCAAAGUAUAAUUUACUUUUCCUUCUUAGUGGCAAACUUGACUUCAAAUUUACACAAACCAAAUUCAGAACUUCCUUGCUUGGUGGUAAAUAAUAAGUGAAAGAGGUAAAACAUGAAUCUCAACAUGUAUGUUAUCAUACCACCAAAUAUUUAAAUUACUGAUAAAGUCAUAACCUAAGAAGAACGGAUACAUCAUAGAAGAACCAUACUUCAUAUAUUCCUAAAGAAUCCAUAACCCACAGAGGCAGAUAUUAUAAUGAACUCAGCACAUCAGAAGGAUUCUUGACCAUGGGAAUACACAUCUAAAAUCCAAAUCAGUAAACCGUGUUAUCCAAGUAUAAUGUUAGUGAUAUGAAAGUCAUUUUACAAUCAACAUACAAUGGUGAUCACAGUACUUCUGUACUCUACCAAGCAAACAAUCGCAUUACCUAUGUGCAUGCCUUUAUCUACGUACUAUUUGCUAUGUUAGCAGCUCAGCUUCACUCUUCACAAUUUAUCAAGCCGAAGACUCGACUUGCCUAUGCAUCCCUACCCGCAUCAUCAAUCAAAUGGCCAUCAGAAGGCUAUCAAAAAGAUUAUCACAUUCCCCAACGUAGUCAAAGCCGUUUAACUUGGCCUAUUAAGGGAUGGAUUUGAGCGGAUCAAGCCUACUGCAAUGCAAAAGCUAACAUCUGACUACAUUUUUUUUUCGUAUCGGAAAGUAAAAGUAAAGAUAGAAAGAAAUUGAAUUACACCUAAAACCAUUGCAACCCAGAAUUCAAUCAGCGAAAUCAAAUUAAACGACAUCCCAUUCUUACAAAGUAGUUUACACCAAACUCAACCCCACAGAGUUAGGAUUGCCCUUACUUGUAUCCUCUAUUUUCACACCAUCUCUAGUCGACGUGUGACUUGUGCUUUUCCCAAUACCCAUUAGGCUCAAAAUGCCCGAUUCAUGGCCAGAUCAAACAAUUAGGUCGAACCCCGGUUCAAUUAUCCGAAUCAAAUCCACAAUGCAGAUAGUAAACAAACAAAAAAGCGCAUACCCGUCUGGAGCCAGAUAUUGCGAGAAUCAAGAAAAUUGUGAGAACAAUGACGAAAAGGAGGCAUCGCGGUUGAACGAGGAAGGAGAUCGCCCUUCGCAUUGCUUCAAUUCCCGGAAUAAAGUGUUGCAUCAAAUCACAAAAGAAUCGCAACUUUGUAAUCCUCCAUUGCAGAGACCUAGCUGGGUUUGUCUCGGAAUCGUUUUAGCCGCAGCUACAAAAAAAACGCUACAGUGCGCAGUUUCUGAAGGUUGAAGAAGGCUCCAGUUGCAGAGGGCAUAAAUUAAAAAAUGUUCAAACCUAAUAAAAUAACAAAAAGUCAUUUGAUUUUUAAAAUAGAAGCAUAGUGUCAUUGUUUUAUUUUUGUUUCCAAUCCAACAUGCACGCCCUCAUGCUUUGGAGUUUGGUUUAACGGGGAAAUUCUACUGUAUGAAGGGCACAGGAGUGGACCUAGCAUACCCUUUCAUGCAAUGCUUUUUUCUUUUAAUUUUAUUCAAAUUGCUACAUUCUUUUUUAAAAUUACACUGACUUAAAUUUACAAUGUUGUUUAAGUUUCCACCAAUUUAAUUCAACAAUCUUUCAAAUUUUAUUUUAAUCUGAUAUAAUCUUUCAAAUUUUUAUUUUGAAGUAGAAGAAACUCUAGUACUAUGACAAGUUUUUUGUAGCACUCGCUAUUCUUUUUCUCUGCCUGAAAGAUUAGUUGAAAUGUAUCUAAUACAUUUUGGGGAAAUUUUUAAUUAUUUUUUGUUGUGAUAUGUUAAACUUUGUAAAAAAAAUUAUCUCUUUAAUAAUUCGUAUUAAUAAAUAUGGCUGAAAAAAAUAAACAAUACGCAUUGACAUUAAUAUGAUAAUCAAGAGAUAUAAAAUCGAUUUAGUAAUAAGAAUGAUUAUUUUUUGUUUUUGUAAGUGUCCGUUUAAGUCAUCCCAUCAAGAAAUGAUAAUUAGAUGAGUUUAGUUUUAUUAUAUUAUCAACAAUACAUAUACAUUGAAAUCAUUUAAAUAUAUUAGAUCGUACAUAUAAAACAUUUUAUUGAAAUAAUUUCCAUUUUUGUAACGUCUUGUGCAAUGAUAAUUAAGAGUUAAAUUUGUUUUAUAUAUGAAUAUAUGAAUGAAUAUGAAAGAUGAAGUGUUACUGGAGGAUGGUCAAUGAAGAGCCCUGAUUAGAAGGGAAAUGAAGAAUAGGAGAUUAAUUUUAGGAAGGUAGGUCCUGGUUUUGAGGUAUUUUUUGUGGGGUUGUUAGUUGUUGGAGCUAAAGAAAGGUGGAAGGUGGGAGGUAUAAAUAAGGGAAGAAGCAGGAGAGGAAUAUCAGUGCACUCAACAUCGAAUAAAGUGAGAGAAGAAGAUCAAAUAAAGUGAGAGAAGAAGAUGGCCUCAUUUAUCGCAAGACACCUUCUUCUCUCUUUGGCUCUCUCCUUCUCUAUUCUUCUUCUUCUUCCCGUCGCCCUUUCCGAUGGCCCCGAAGAAGCACCGGCGUUGUCCCACCACGGUGGACGCUUAACCACCGGCAUCUUAAGAGUUGGCAUCAUGUGGUACGGCCCAAUUCCAAGAGUCCAAAGGAGGGCCAUUUUGUCCUUUUUCAGGUCGCUCAACACCGUCACCCCCAACGCUGAUGACCUACCCCAGGUCGCAUCGUGGUGGAACAUGGUCGAGAGUUAUCAAGCAUACGCCAAACCAGGUGCAGUUGCUGCACCCAAGAUCAGGGUCAAGGUGGUAAACGAAGCGUUCGACGAAGAGUAUUCCUACGGAAAAGUGCUCAUCAAAGAUUUCAUCCAGCCCCUUAUCCCCAUGGCAACCGGCGGAAUUCCAAACACCCUCGCUGUGAUCGUGGCCUGCAAGGGUGUGACCGUACAGGAUAUGUGUGCAGGAUCAUGCGCCCAGCACGGUCUUAUAGAUAACCAAACUUACGUUGCCGUGGGUGACCCAGAGGACGAGUGCCCUGAGUGUGCAUGGCCAUUCGCAGGGAGCAGUGGAAAGACCGGCGAAGUGAUGAUCCCACCAAGCGGUGAUAUUGGAGCUGAUGUGAUGGUGAAGUUGUUGGCCGGAGGUUUGGCCGGAGCAGUGACAAACCCUUACGGGGAUGGGUUUUUCUCAAGUGCACGAGGAAACCAUUUCUACGAAGCCACAAGCAAAUGCCCUGAUCUUUUUGCAUCCGACCAAAUACCCUUGGACUCCGAAACUGGUGCUGCCUUCAAUGCUGUCGGCGACAAGGGCACCAAGUUCUUGCUCCCUGCAAUCUGGAACCCCAAAACUUCUUCCUGCUGGACUCCUCUCUAGAUUAUUUUAUCAUUCCUGUAUCAUACUUCUAUAAUAUUUUUUGACAAUAUAAAGUAAUCUUUUUUGGGACCAUUAACUCCUUCUCACCCUUCUUUUCAAUUUUACAUUUCGGUAUUAGAUUACAUAAUUUUCUUCAUCGUUUAAGAAUUGCCAUAAAAUUUAUAUAUAUAUAUAUAUAUAUAUAUAUAUAUAAUUAGGUGUAAACUAAACAUCUUACUUACAUAAUUAGUACCUUUCCCUUUUUAUUUUCUUUAAAACUGUUUAUUUUUUUAGAAAAAAAUGACUCACUAUCUCAUUGGUUAAAUUAAGACAAACAGCUUAAACCAGUGAAUUAUUUUCAAACAAACUUUAAAAUUAAAUAGAAAGUAUAUUUAAGUUUUUUUUAUGUAUUUCAAAGGUAUUACAGAUAAAUGGGUGAAAAUAUAAGUAGUUUUAUACUCUAGCUUCCAUUUAAAUUGUUGGUUUUGUAACAAAAGUUUGUUACUUUUAAUUGUUUAGCAAGGAAGGAAGGUAAAUUAGUAGAAAGGAACUGAACAAUGUCCCAUAUACAUCUCCAGCUUUCAAUUUGCCCAUCCCAUCUUCCAACAGAAUCUCUCUUUUUUCCAAUCACCACAUGUGAAUACUAGAUUCAAUUUUUUAUAGGCUGGAUAAACAAAAGAGUAACUUUUUUCCUACAUACAAAAUAAUAAUAUAUCUAAACUAACUAAUAUUGUAAUUUAAAUUCAUAUUCAAUUCAUCCUUAUCAUUAGUUACAAAACAAUGGCAAAAUAAUAAUUUAUUUAAAUAAAAUAAUCUUGUAAAUUAAAUUCAUAUUCAGUUUCAUCAUUUUUUAUCUAUUUCACGGUUUAAAUUAGUAAUGUAAAUCAUGAUUAUGUAAAGUUUCAUACUCCCCAACUUCAAUAUUAAUUUGAAUGGAUUUUCUUGUUUGCUUCUUACUUAAUUUUAAAUUCCAUAACAAAAACAUAAUUCUUUAUAUUUUUCUUUAGUCCAAUUCUUUAUUUUUUUACAUUUAAAGAAAUAUAAAGACAAAUAUUAUAAGUAAAGUAGAGAAUAAAGUACUAAUUUUAUUCUAAAGUAACAUUAACUAUAUAAAAGGAAUUCCAAUUCCUAUAGAACUGUUGACUGACUAUAUAAAAGGAAUUCCAAUUCCUAUAGAACUGUUGACUGACUUUGUUACCCUUCUUCCGGUCGGACAGUCAGCUCGAACUUCAGCUUGCUCCUUUUCACCUUAGCGUUACUCCUUCAGGUCUCAGUCGCUCUAUCCCAAGUAAAUGUCGAAUGGGGUACCUGCAGAAGACACUCCAACGCUCAAGUCAGCAAAGAGUAUUCGAUCCUCGGUUGUCAGAGUAUAUUUAGUAACGACAUACCUUGUUCUUGGAAUGUGCGCUAUUUAUAUUAUUUUAAUGAGCUUAUCUUAUUGGGCUGAAUUAGUGGAGAGGAUCGUACUUAGGUGCGUAUUACCUAGUGGUUUAGCUUUGUUGACCUUGAUUUGAGUGUUAAUGGGCUGGGUGUGUCGGUCGGCCCACACAGACGUGCUGGACUCGGCCCGCUCGAUCAUGGAGACCGAGUUAUGGUAUUGAUCAUUCGGUCCAUACCAGUACAGUAAUAAAAAAGAGGAAGAAGUGGGACACGUGUUCACAUUAUAGAGUCCCACUUGUCACGUCCAAAAUGCAUUUCAGAUUCCUAUUUUUAGUAAAAAUUGCAUUGUUUUAAUUUUAAUUUAUUUUGAACUUUUUUUUCUAGUGCUGCCAUUUGUCAAAAGUUUUUCCGAGAGUCCCUCCAUUUGUUUUAUAGAUAGAUUUUAUAAAAUGGAAUUGAAAAAUUAUGUAACAGUUAUUUUUUAAAAAGGAAAAAUUAUUUAGUUAUUUUUUAAAUAAAUGAUAAAAUGAUUUAUUUUAUUAAAAAAAUCAUUCAUUAAAAAAUUUCCCAAAUAAAAACUGAUAUAAAAAAAAUUACCAAAUGAUACAUUAUACAAGGUAUAGAUAAAUAAAAAAUAAAAAAUUAAAUUAGUUUAAAUUAAUAGUUUUAAUCCUUCUUUCUUUUUUAAUCUCACAAUUAACGAGUGAAAUAUAUAUUAAAACUACUAAGUUAGAAUAAUUUGAUAGUGUCCUGAAAUAAAAUUAUAUAUUUUGAUGAUACAUACGUAAUGAAUGAAAGAAAAUGUAAAAUGUUUGUUUGUUGUUUUGGUAUUCGAUGUUCUAACUUGUAACAGAUGGCGAUGAGUAUGGUUGAAUUUGUGUGUUGUAUUAUAGUAGCCAAUAGAUAUGCACCGCAUCUUAACUUUGUGUUAGUCUUCACGGCUCAAUAACUGUGGGCACAAACACACCCUAAGGUAUAGCCGCAAAAAAAUUCAACUAUAAAACUUCUGCAACUUGUUUAUAAUAAAUCCAUAAUGGAGUUUCACAGGCCAAUUGCAUGCAUGCUGAAGAUCAUAAAACUAACAAGUUAAUAAAGUGAUAUAAACAAAUUACGUAACCUGUUCUUUAUUUUUAUUGUUCUAGAGAUAAAAGGUUUAAUUACGAGAAACGGUUGGUCCUUGGUUGGCGUCAUUGACGCUACAACUUGCUACCAAGCUUACCAAACAAAACCUUUUCAAUUUACCUUUCUUCAAUCACUUACGUAAUAUGCUUCUUAUAUAUGGAUUAAAUAAAAUAAUUAAUUACAAAUUUCAUUAAUGAAUACACCUAAAAAUUUAAUAUGAUGAGAAAAUUAUAACCUAUACAUAAAUUUCGAAAAUUAAAAUAAAACAUGAUUUCAAUAUAAUACCUUAAUUAAUGCUUAAUUUAGCAUUACAUUGUAAAAGUUGCAAUGAUAAGUAACUGUAAUGUAAUAGCACAAAAUAAAGUUAGAAAUAAUUAAUUGAUGAAAGAGUUAUAAGCAAUCAAAUAAGGUUAAAGAAAAAAAAGUAUAAAAGAUUAAAGAAAAAAAAGUAUAAGUUAUGAUAAAAAGAAGAACUUAUAGAAAAUACAAUAAGGAUAAGAGUAAGAAGUAAAUAAGGGAUACAAAUUUCAGUAAAACCAUACAGUGAUGACAAUGACGGUUAUAGAUGUAUAUAAGUUUUUAUUUAUACUGUUCAAAUAAUCUAAAAUUUUAUAAUUUAUUUUAUCAACAUAUAGGUUUUAUUUUUUCAUUACAUCUUAUUUAUCAUUUAAAUAAUUAUAAUUAUAUAAUUAUAUAUAUAUAUAUUGAUUUAUUAUUAUAUUACUGUAUCGUUUUAUACUUUCAGUUUAGUUUUCUGAUGAGAUCUUUAGUGUUACGGGUUACUCAAAUAUUUAUCGAAAAAGUUGUUUAAAAAUAUGUAUAAACCUCUUUACCUACUCGAUUCGAGAUUGAUCGAAAUUGGAAAAUUAUGUAUAUUGUUCGAUUUCUUGACGAGUUAUCUAACAAUAUGAGUUACUUAAUAUUUACUGAAAAAAUUGUUCAAAAACACGUAUAAGCAUUUGCUCAAACAUAAUAAUAUUAUUAAAUCGUUACAUAACAAUGAGUACAACUACGCACCACCAACAACUAACCCAAAUAAUCUAUAUUUUUUGACAAAAUUUCUAAAACAUGAGUCGAAAACCACGAAAAUCUUUUAUAGAUCUUCCGUUUAAAGAGCUAAUUUUGGACCUAAAAUAGACAUUUUGUAAAUAGACAAAAAACUAUUAUAGCAAACAAGUUGUGAGAUACUCCUUGAGCCGCAACAAUUACUAAUAGCACAAUUUCCUUAUAUACUUCUUUUACAUUACAAAAUUCAUGAUUUAAAUAUUAAAAUAUCUACAAAAUUGUACACAGUAGAUUUAAAUUACCGACAUUAAAUAUGUAAUUCAAUAAUAUGUCAGAUCCUAAAAUAUUUUCAAACACAAAUAAGCAAAUUAUUUAACGAGAUAAUGAAAAUACUCCAAUCCAGUGAUUGAACAAAUAUCACGAAUGAAAAAGGUAAAUACAAAAUGGAUCUCCGUUCGAGGCACCGCAAUAGAUAAUACUAAAAAAUGAAUACAUAAUAAAAAGGAGCUUAAGAAAUAAUAAUCUGAGAUGCUCUGAGAACCGUUCAUCCAACCAAUAGAUUUAAAAAAUAACAGUUUUGGUUUUAGUUGAAAUGAAGUUGGAUAGUUACAAACAAAUUUGGCAGGGAGGAUGGUGAAGCAUGCAUGGUUGUAAGGAAGAAAGAUGGUGUUGCUUUCAAAUUUGGUCAUCUCUGCUAAACUUUUAUUUUAAUAAAUUUUAAUUUGAGAAAGAUAAAAUAAAAUAAAUCCGUAGAGUGGCAUAUAAGAAGGCGAGGAGGGUGAUAGAUAGAAACACAAGAGUCACUCAAAUAAAAUCCGAAGAUGGGCAGUGAUUGGAGUUGGAGCAGGAGCAAAUGGACUGGAUUGGUGGCGGCGGUGUGGAUUCAAGCCAUAUCCGGCAACAACUACACUUUCUCAAAUUACUCCGACGCUCUGAAAUCCCUCAUGCAUCUAACGCAACUCCAGCUCAACAAUCUGUCGGUGGCGAAGGACGUUGGGAAGGCAUUUGGGCUUCUUGCUGGGCUGGCUUCUGACAAAUUCCCCACUUGGCUCAUUCUCCUCAUCGGCUCUCUCGAAGGUCUCGUCGGCUAUGGCGUUCAGUGGCUCGUCGUCAGCCAAAGAAUCCAACCCCUCCCCUACUCCCAGGUUACCACCAGUUACUCAUUGCUCAUCAUAAACAUUUUAUUUUCCUAAAAUUGCACAUUCUCAAUUCCCAAAAUACAUGCAGAUGUGCAUAUUUCUCUGCUUGGGUGGCAACAGCACAACAUGGAUGAACACGGCGGUUCUAGUCACCUGCAUCCGAAACUUCCGCCGCAACAGAGGCCCUGUUUCCGGCAUUCUCAAAGGCUAUGUCGGACUGAGUACUGCCAUAUUCACCAACCUCUGCUCUGCUCUCUUCGCCGACGACCCUGCUUUGUUUGUCCUCAUGCUCGCUCUCAUCCCAUUCGUUGUUUGCCUCUCCGGAAUCUUUUUCCUCCGUGAGAUUCCUCCCGCCGCCGUAGAGGACGAGGAGGAGUCCACUUAUUUCGGGGUCUUCAACGCCGUUGCCGUCGUCGUCGCUGUUUACCUCUUGGCCUUCGGCUUCGUGCCGAACCCUAGCGCGUUGGUGUCUCGAGCUUUCUCUGUCGGUUUGCUUGUUCUGUUGGCGGCGCCGUUGGGAAUCCCGGUCCACGUUUACUUGAAGGAGCGUGGACCGGACUUGGAGGGGCGGGGUGAAGAACCGUUGCUCCGCGGAAACGACAAGGGGAAUGAAUGUGAGGUGGAGAGAGGAAAUGUAUUUGCAAAACACGCGGAGGCGGCGGGGGUGGGGAAGAGUGGACCGGCGGUGGGGGAGGAGCACACGGUAUGGGAGGCACUGAGAACGGUGGAUUUUUGGAUUUUGUUCGUGUCGUUUCUUUGCGGGGUUGGAACAGGUUUGGCGGUUAUGAAUAAUAUGGGUCAAAUCGGGUUGGCGCUGGGUUAUUCGGAUGUGUCCCUCUUUGUGUCUUUGACAAGUAUUUGGGGCUUUUUCGGUCGGAUCGUCUCGGGUUCUGUUUCGGAGCACUUCAUCAAGUAAGUCAUUCUGACCCCUUUUUUUGUGAUGCGUGAAAAGGAAUUUAUUAAUUUAACAAUUAAGGUCUAACUUUAUUUUAAAAAUUAGUUUGUGGAGGGAGUAGUGUUCUCACUUAUAUACAAUAUAUCUUUAUUAUAUUAUUAUAUUAUUAUAUUAUUAAUUUGGUAUUCAUAGUAUUUAUUUAAAAAGGUUAAAUCAUUAAUGAUAAUUUCUUAUAUCAUUUAUCCAAAUACUUAAUUCAAAUUUAUUAUUUUUUUACCUUUCACUUAUCACAUCUUAUUAUUUGUCUUUUUAUACCUUACUUUUUUUUCUAUUUCUCUAUAGACCUUUUUUUUAAAAUAAAGAGGUUGAACAGUAACCAAAAAGAGCUGAAUCCAUUCAAAAAUAUUAAUAACAAAUACUAAUGUUCUUUUUAAAAGUUAUUUCUUGAAUCACUUAUAUGAAAUUUAAAGACACAAUCUUUAAAGUGUCCAAGAAGUUAAAGAACAUUAAAAGAGAGAUAACACACAAAAAAUAGAAACAAAUAAUACAAAAAAAAUUUAGACCAGUUUGAUUAUCUUUGAAUCUACACUUCAAUUUAAUCAACAUGAGAUGGACACUACUCUUGUAAAAUCAGUAUAAUUUACAUACACUUACUAUAAACAAACAAUAGGCAACACAUUAAAAAAAAUAUGAACCUUCUUGAUCCUAGAAAUCUUCUACACCAAAUCUAUGAAUGAAAACCAAUUCAACUAAUGAAAAUAUGUUAUAGAAAGAUGCUGAUAAAAAAAAAAUGUUAUCGAAAGAUAUCACCUUAACGUGAUUGAUUUCUAAAACAAGAAAGAGCAAAAACAAAUUUCAUUCUAAAGAGCUUGUAGAUGAACUUGUUUAAAAAAUUCUUACACUUUUAAUGAAAACUUAACUGGUGUAUUUGAAAGACACAGCAUGUUGAAUUAAGUUUUUUUUUUAGAAAAAUGUGUAUUUUUGAAAACAAGCCUUAUAUAUGUAUUUCGAAAUCAGAGUUAAUCCAUUAUUAUCUAUAAUAAUUGAUUACAUUAUUUUUAUAUUAUUUUAGAAAUCUUUUGUUAACAAAUUAAUUAUUUAUAUUAAGUGAUAAUAGAUUAUUUUCAAGAACAGUAUUUAAAAAUCCAGAUAUAAUCAAUUAUAAGGUUAACAAUCUAGUUAUAAUACUCGAUUAUGAAUUAAGAACAAUUAAUUAUUUGUGAGAUCAAAUAUUUUUUGUGAUUCUGAUCAUCUCAAGAUAAUUUAUUAAAUUAUUCUUCUAAAAAUAUUUAAAAGAAAAUAAGUGUUCCUGAAUCAAAUAAACAUUUCAAGCUUAUGCAAUAUGCUUAGCAUGCCUAAUCUAAUGCUUUUGAGUUCAUCAUAUAUCAAUAAGAGAAAACUUCUAAUUCUUCAAUAUUUUUAGAAUCAAUACUAUUAUUGUCCAAAAGUAAUUCUUUUUAUUAGGCAUCCUCAAUGAAUGCAAUAUUUCACUUUUAAUAAGGUGUUGGAAGAAUACCGAUGGUUCUAAAUUUUGACCAGCUUAGUUUGUUUUAUCAAUUUGCCGUGUUUGCAGGAAAGCGGGAACUCCUAGACCCCUUUGGAAUGCAGCGUCUCAAAUUUUGAUGGCCGUGGGAUACAUACUCCUGGCCAUGGCUAUGCCAGGUUCACUUUACAUAGGCUCCAUUAUGGUUGGCAUAUGCUACGGCGUGAGGCUAGCCAUCACUGUACCAACAGCCUCCGAGUUAUUUGGCCUCAAAUACUAUGGACUCAUUUACAACAUUCUAAUCCUUAACCUUCCCCUUGGUUCUUUCCUCUUUUCUGGUCUGCUAGCUGGCAUUCUGUAUGAUAUGGAGGCAACUACCACCACAGGAGGUGGCAACACUUGUGUUGGAGCUCAUUGUUACAGACUAGUGUUCGUAGUUAUGACUGCAGCCUGUGUUGUUGGGUUCUUCUUAGACGUUGUCCUAUCAAUCAGGACCAAGAUGGUUUACAACAAGAUCUCCUUGAGCAAAAACUCCAAGAAAAACUCAGUCACAUAAGUAGGCGAUGAUUCGAAAUGGCUCAUAUAUAUAUAUAUCUAUGAGGGUAUGACACUCUUUGGAUUGAGGUGCGUUAUGAUAUCCUAAUUUUCACUAGUAUGGCUAACACUAAAUCAGAUGUCUUUUUGGGAAUAAAGGUCGGUGGUUAAUUUGCUUGUACAUCCAUUUUGUGUUCUCUGAAGCAUAAUCAGGUUACAGUCUGUAAAUAGUUGUAAAGUGUCUUGUUUUCAACCAAUUUGGAGAAGAAAAUGUUGUCACAGAUUUUCUGAUGUAUGCAAGUCUUUGAAAUUGGUUGAUCUGAGUCAAAAGUAUUGCAGACUUUACUCAUUUCAUUCCAAAAUUUUACUUAUUUUUAUUUUUCUAUGUGACAAGUAAUUUGACGAGAGGCAUGAAGGAAAGGAAAAUUGACCGAAGAAAUUAAAAAAAAAAGGAACUUUUGAUGAUGUUUAAGUGAAGACAAACUACAGAAGAAGCUGAAAUCAAUUACGUUAUUGAAGAAGACUAGUAGUAGUAUCAGAAAAACAGGUGUUUUUUUAUCUGGCGGAGCUAAUGGGCCAAAAAACUGGAAGAAUCAUAACUCUAAUGGCUGUGUGUGAGUAGUAAGGUAAAAUAAAUUUGGUAACAUUGAUAAACUUGUGCAGCAUGUGACCUAGGGUGAUUAGUAAGGACAAAGAGAGUCAGAGUAAGAUGUUUAUAAUGAUGUCCUUUCUACUACACUACUCAAAUAUAAUAUAUUUUAUUCUAUCAAAUAUAAUACAUAUUAUUACUUAUCUAGUUUAAUAAAUAAUUAUUUAAAAUCAUAUCUACUGCAAUCAGAUUGUAAUUUGAUAGAAAAAUUAACCCAAGUUUUAGUAUUUAUUUUUAUAAUAAUAAUUUUGUAUUAUGCCACAACUUUGAUACAAUACAUAUAUGAAUAAUAUAUUUAAUUAUCUUAUUUUGAUAUAAUAAAUAAAAUCCCAUAAAGCAACACAUAAUAAUAUAUAUGUAAUAAAGAUUAGCAAUUAAGAUCACAUUAAAUUAAUAUUGAAUUAUAAUAUUUAAUAGUUAAUAUUGAAGAAAAUUAAAGUACAUGUUCCGUUCGGUUGACCGGGACGUCUUCGUGCGCGACCUCAACCGUCAGCUAGGGACUCCUUUCCACUGAUUGCCUGUGGAUUCCUGCAAAAAAGAGGACAAAGAGGCGCCCUAGCGGCCGUUUGCACUCCGACGCUCAAGUCAGCCAGCAAGAAACACCAAAACUGUUCACCCCCCGUCUCUGAGCACCGCAUAUGACACUCUGAAGGUGGUAAGAAAUAACUGUGUAUUGUGUGUCUGUGUUCUCUCUCUCCGGCAAAAAUAUUCCCCAGUCCCUUGUUCGUAACCUUGGAGCACGAGCAAGCAACUAGAGAGCUCUGGUAAAUUUGCAGAAAGUUCGAACCCUCUUUCCAACAUUCUCUGCGCUAUUGAAACGCUUGGGAGCCAUUAUAACACCUGAAUGCUCGAAAGGGAAACUGUAUUGAAGGACUUUAAUUACCUGGCACCUGACUAAAGGGUGUUUCUAUUCUGGCAUGGCUGUCGUACACGUGGAGGUCCUCACGACGCCAUGACCCCAUCUGGGGGCGUUUCUGCCCAUCUGGGGACGUUUCUACGUGUGAGUCCUCCUGCUUGGGAGUGUUACUGCGCUAGGGGUGACUUUUUGGGUGCCAACUCAUGCCCCCAAUUAUCUAUUCACUUACUUUGAGAGCGUAUAUGCCUUCCUCUUGUACCCUGCACCCGGCUGCCCUAGGCGUGACCUUCCUCUUGAGUCGUAUCUGUCCCACAGGCGUCUCUGGGGCGGCAGGAGCACUUCACGAGUCAGGCUGCCCUACACUGGUACUAUUACUAUGGCCUUGAAGCCACCUUUUCCUUCUCUUUAUCGCUGCCCCGUGCUAUCGGGACCUGAGGCCUUCCCACGGCGUCGCUCCCUCCAUGGUCUUUCCUACCCAUGGGUUGGGCGACGCCUUGCCUUGGCGACGCUUCCUCUUGGCGUCUCUCCACCUAGGCGACGCCUUGCGUUGACUUUGACUCUCCAGUCGUUGACUUUGACCUUGACUUAGUCAACGCCCGGAUACGGGACGGUACAGUACAAUUAAAAAAUAAUUUAAAAAAUAUGAAAUAAUCCUGAAAAUAAUGUGAGAAUAUGAAUAAUAUGAUGACACUGUUGAGAGAGCCUCCAACCUCGCACAACCACAUAAUAAAGAGGAUGAAGACCUAGAAGUUGUUUAUUGAUUUAAUUACAAAUAUGAAUUUAAUUGAGCUUUUGUUUAUUUUUGUAGGCCCAAUUAAAACAUAAACUAGAAGUCAACAUUAUUUGUGGAUCAAGCUUUAGCUUAAAUAAAUUCCAUAAAGUUGUUUAGGAUUUCAUGGGCCAUGUAUUUGGCCUAGUAGCAUCAAAUAAUUGGACCCAAUAUUUGGGUCAAGUAGCAUAGGUUUUUGGGCUUGUAUUUGGGUCAUAGUGAAAUAGGUCUAGUUAGGAUUAAAAGUGAUCGGUUGGGGUAACAAUUGGACUUAUUUGAACCCAAUGUAACCAUAAAACGGUAUAUUGAAUAACGAAAAUCACCUUGAAAAGGAGCACAUGGACGUCUACAUGACAACGUAGGAGUGGAGAAGAUUUAGCAUGGAAAGUAUGAACUAAACAUAAAAAACAUGACUUCACAUAACACCUUCUCAUUCAAGAUUUUUUUUUUUGAAUUUUUAAAUUUUGAUUCCAAAAUGUUCAACUAUCUCUCUUAAUUUCCACUAGUAUGGCUAAUACUGAAUAUGAUGUCUUUUUGGGAAUAAAGGCCUGUGGUUAAUUUACUUGUACAUCCAUUUCAUGUGCUCUGAAGCAUAAUCAGGUUACAGUGUGUCAGUAAUAGUUGUAAAAUGUCUUGUUUUCAACCAAUUUGGAGAAGAAAAUGUUGUCACAGAUUUUCUGAUAUAUGCAAGUAUUUGUAAUUGGUUGUGUUGAUCUGAGUCAAAAGUAUUGCAGACUUUACUCAUUUCAUCCCAAAAUUUUACUCUCUUUUUUCCUGUGAUAAGUAAUUUGAUGAGAGGCAUGAAGGAAAGGAAAAUUGACUGAAGAAAUUAAAAAAAAAGAACUUUUGAUGGUGUUUAAGUGAAGACGAACUACAUAAGAAGCUGAAAUCAAUUACGUUAUCGAAGAAGACUAGUAGUAAAAACAGGGUUUUUUAUCUGGCGGAGCUAAUGGCCAAAACACUGCAAGAACUCUAAUCGAUUCUCUUUUCUUUUUAAUUUGUCUUCAGACCAAUUAAUGUUUCUAUUGAUUCACACAAGUUCACAUUUAUAUUACAAAUAAAGUUAAAAAUAAUUUCAGCAUAUUCUUGUCAACUUCAACAUUAUGCAUAAUCCACUGGCUUACCAUUCCUGAAACAAGAAAUAAAAAAUAGCACUUUCACCAUGUCAAUAUCAAAACAGUUAACCGUGGUUGAUUGGAAUGGAAUUGACUUUGGCAUGGCGUGUAAGUACUCCUGGUUUUGCGAAAUCCAUCAACAUCAACCUGUUGCCUCACCCAUGCCUUCAUCUCUCUAUGCUAAAAUACGACUUAAUAAUAUAUCCACAACAAACACUGUAACAUAUACAGUAUUUGGGGGCAUCCAUAGGUGUUCAUGAUCAAAUGGAGGCUGCUAUGCUAACUAGGCCGUGAGGAACUGCAGAGAUCAAUGUGUCAAAAUUAUACAGAUAUUUCAAAACUUGUUUAAUGCGCUACGCGAUUUCAAACAACCCAAGGCGAACCUUCGGCUCUUGAUACCACUUGUUGGGAAAAACGGGUAAUUUUCCCACUAAAACAAAACCCUAACAGAGCUACCCGACAAAUAAUAUUGAAUAAAUAAAGCGGAAUAAUAAAAGAGAUAAAGAGGAAAAACACACCCGAAAAUUGUUAACGGAGUUCGGCCUGUUUAGCCUAAUCUCCGAGCACAGCAAAAACAACUCACUUUUAUUAUUAUGAGAGAAGAUAUUACAAAUUGGGAUCUAUAACAGUGAAGGAGAAGAGUUUAAUUUAUAACCCUCAAACCUCAUUCCCAAACAAUGAACCCACCGAUGUGGGACUUGGGAUUAAGCCAAAAUCAACAACUUGUUGGGUCUGUUUUGUAUUGCUUUUUUCUUUGUUCAAUGAAAAUUGUACCUACCAGUCCUCGGAUGUCGUUGACUGCUAGUAAUGGUAGGCCACAUAAGCUGGGUCCCACGAGCGGCAUCGCAAGCGACGCGAGCCAGAGUGUCGAAGAGUGGUCAGAUGUCGAUCAUCAGGAUGUGUUGAUGUGUCCUCGACAACAAGGUGGGGCAAUGUGACAUUGGACAUCAGUGACUCAAACAACGAAGCUAGGCCACGAGAGGUGGAUCCUAGACAACACACCAGUUAUCAGUAGGGAGAAACCUAGAUCACGAGUGGUCUAUUCGUGUGGCGUGAAUAGUGCAUUCAAGCGGAGCACAAGUAAAGAGCCACUGGAAGAGCUGAGGCCCAUGAGGAUUACGUUCUAGAGGUAGGCUGCAUGCAUGGAAUGUGAACAACUAGGGCACUCCCAGGAGGGAUGACCCAGAGAUUAGGUGCACAAGUUGGUAUCCAGGUGGUCAUCCCGUCAGAGGUUGCACUCCAGUAAGGGAGCCUUACGCGUUAGAUUGGCCUAAGAGUGGGUGAUAGCGGCGCUAAGGCCUAACCUCAGAAACCCUAGAUGCGGGUGGCGGAAACAGCGAAAACCCGAGAGUAUAUAAAGGGUAAUAACAAACCUAAUAAGGUACGCAACAUUUACGCGAUACACACACAGUUUCACAUGGAGCUUUUACGGCUAAGUGUUUUGGUGUUUUCUAGCCCCAGUAUUGACUUGAGCGUCGGAGUGCAAACGACCUCUAGGGCGCCCCUUUGUCUUUGCAGGUUCAGUUGUUUGAUCCAAGGAAAGCACGAACAAAGGCAUAGAAGAUUGAGCGUGUGAUCGUCAUUAGACAUACGAAGACAAUCGAGUCAACCGGAACAAAACUCUUUCCUUUCAUGUUUUCUACUGCUACUCUUCCUCAGCCUUUUGUUCUUUCAUUCUAUACGAUUAUCGGUUCUCUUAUUGAAUGAAAACUUCUGCAUGUGCCGCAACCAAGUCAAAUACAUAUGGAACUACAUGAGGUUUCUUGAGAAAAUGAAUUGUGAUUAAAAUUGAAAUUAAUAAAAAUCCUAGCCCUUUAUAUUUAACUUUAUAAGCAAAAUUAACCUCUCACACCUAUCAUGCACUCACUUUAUGUAUUUGCAUAACCUUUUAUGGGAUAUCCCAAGUAAAUUUACUCAUGAAGAAUUGAAGAGGUGUUGUGUGAGCGAGCUGAGAUUUGCUUGAAAUUUAAAAACAGAAUAGUUUGAGCUUUGAUUCAUUGAGAAAUGGGUUACAGUACCCUAGACUCAUUAUACGUGACCUGCGGAGCCUGCUGUGAUCAGUACCGAAAGGAACAUAUAUUUUGGAGUACCUAUACCACGCUGAAACCCAACUGACAGAGAAAGAUAGUAUAUUGAUUUCUUUGUUGUCUUUCUUGCCAUACAAAUCAACACAUUUUCACAUAAGUUGAUGAUGCCAAGCAGCAAAGAGGGAACACACUUUCAGUUAUUUAGUGAUCUUUCAAACAUAAAUUCAUGUGGUUUCUGUGACUCCUCCACUUUUUCCCAUUUUGGAUUGUCUAAAUGGCUUGCGUCCAGACUUGACUUAUGUGUUAUUUAAAAGAAUGAUGAAAUAUGAACAUUUGAAUAUCAUAAAUACUUUAUUGGUAACAUUUAUGAUUUUUCUUUAUUUUUAUGGAUGAUGAUGUGAUUCUGCAUAAUUUUGGUACUUCAAAGGGUGGGUGGGAAGAGGUGUGCAUUGCACAUAGUGGGAAGUAAUAUAAGUCCUGUGGUCCAAAAAGGAAGAGCGCAUGCCGACCCUAUACUUUACUUCAUCAGUAUUCAAUGCUCACUCCAAGCAAUACCAUUCUGGGAAAGUUCAAGCUGCACUUUUUUCUUCCUCAGAAGUGAAGCUUUAUGCAGCACUCUUUGGACCAAUAUGAUCAAAUCCUUUCAGUAAUAGGAAUGUUAUUAAUUUUCUUAGAGAACCAAAAGGUGCAAACAUUAGCAAGCCAAUGCACUGUGAUUUUGUGAAUUUUCUUAACUUCCACCUAAAUUUCCAUUCACCCAACAACUUAUACCAAAUGUAGAUAACCUGUUAUUAAUAAAAGGGGUUUCUUUAGUUUUUUAAACCAUCAAUCCAUUUAGAUUCUGUGUAAUUAAUACUAGUUUCUUCCAUUACAUCUAUUUAUGUUUAAACUUUCCAUUUUUAUUGAUAUUUUAGAAACUGAAGAUUUAAUACAUUUUCCCCCAGCGACCCCCUUAUUUAAAAUGAAGACGAUAGUAUUGUUUUCAUGACAUUUCAUUUUAACAAGAUCAUUGGAUUGGAGGAGUUGGAAAAGGCAUGGGAAUAUGAAAUGUUAAUCAUAAACUUUAGGAAGAAGAGUGAAAUAAACAAGAAUGUUGAGUUCAGAGACAUUAGAAGUCAAGAUUGAUAUAUAGACACUUCAAUAUUGAUUGGUGUCCUUAAUUGUUUAACUCCAUUCGUUAAUCAAUUCAUUGCAUAAUGUUAUAUUGUCCUUUUGCACCUGAACAGGCUGUACAAGACCCAAAGAUGAAAGGUCCUGGUUUUUGGGCUCUCAUAGGAUGUUUCACAUGAUUUCUGAACCCUCCAUUUAUUCAUUAUUGUUUAAGGAUCAUGUGAUCCAAGACCGCCUCACACAUUUCUCACACUUCUCAGUUAUUUUUUGUUCCUGUGCAAAUCACACGCUCUAAUUAAAGAAGUAUGCAAAAUUUAAACUUUUCCAAGAUUUAAAAUUCAUGUUAAUUUCAAAAUUUAAAUUGUAGAUUCAUUAGAAUUUGAAAGAAAGAAAUAGUCAUUAAUUAUAGUAGUAAUAAUAAGUCUGAAUAAGGAGUACUGCAGUAUCCGUAUUUGGAAAAGCAAUGUGAACAAUAGAGUGAGUUGAAGUAGAUGGAAAUGUAAUUCGAAGACACAUUAACUAAAUUGACUAUUGAAAUCCAUUACCAUCACCCAUUACCGUUGCAAAAAUUCAAGGUUUGGUGAAUUGGUAAUUAAUGAUGCAGGAGGAAGGUGAAGAACUAUAGUAGCAGUGUCUCUAAAUAAAGAGUGAGAUGAAUUUAUUAGUUCUCUUAUUUGUUAACGUAACAGUGGCAUGUGAAGAGAAAAGAAGGGACCUUUUCAGAGGUUCUGUUCCCUUGUGAUAUCACCUCCCAAAUGCUACACCACUGUUACCCUCAAUCCAAGUACAAUCAAUCGCUUUGUCGUCACUCCUUUCUUACACUCCCGUGUUCUCUGGGACUCUGUUCACUGCUACUAACACCCCCAUUUCUUUUUGUAUUUAAGCUCAAUGCUUUUCUUCACACUUUAUAACCCUUUUGCUUCUAUUCACUUCUUCCCCCAUUUAUAAGUCCAAGGAUGCAAGAUAUCCCCUUCUAUGUCCUUAUACUUUCCCUCCUUCUAAUUCCAACUUCUCUGGUUUCUCCUUUAUACGGUUCUUCUUCCUACAAAUUUUCCCUGUUUAUUAUUUUCAAGUACUAAUAACAUUCUCAAUAUUCAUUAUUUGCUGUCUUCGUUGCAGAUGGGCCCUUAUAUGACUUCACUGCCCACACUGAGGUGAUUAUAUUUUUUAAACAAAACGCAUUCAACAUUCACUAAGCUGGGAUUAUGACUUUAAUUGAUGUUCAUGAUAGUGCAAAGAGAAACCAGAGGAGCCACUUUAUGGAGGAGGAGUUCUCAAGAGUCAGCAACGGUCUCCUCCUGGUCUUCAAGACAACAUUGCCUCAUCUUACGUUGUUAACAACACCUAUGUGCCUUCACUCCUUCUCUAUAAUCUCACCCAGGGCACCAUUUACACUUUUUCCGGUUAGUUAUUAUCGUUUUUACACUCUUAUCUUAAUGAUUGAUUAUGUUACUUUUCACCAUUUUCUGCUUAAUAAAAGAAAAAAAAACUACAGUAGCGUUAUUUUAAAGUUUUGAUUAAAAAAAAAUUCCGUUGCCGGGACUUGAACCCGGGUCUCUCGGGUGAGAGCCGAGUAUCCUAACCAACUAGACUACAACGGAUUGAUGUUGUUUAAAUAAUUAAAUAAUUUAAAGUUAAACUCUUCGAUAGUAAGAAUUGUUAGAUAUUAUGAUAAUAUGUUACAGCAUGGGUGAGAGUUAAAGGUUCAAGUUCGGGCAUGAUAAGGGCUACCCUGGAAACAGAGAAAGAGACGUAUGAUUGCAUCGGGACAGUUUCAGCCAAGCUUGGAUGCUGGUCAUUUCUCAAGGGUGGUUUCGUUCUAACCUCGUCUUCAAAUUUAUCCGUCAUCUUCUUCCAGGUAGCUUCCUUUUCUCUGCUCUUUUAUUCCGUAAAACUCUUUAGGAUAUUUGGUUAGUUUCUUUUAACCUUGUGUAUGCAGAACGCGGAUGGUAAAGACAUCAAUAUAGAAGUUGCUAGUCCAUCACUCCAGCCAUUUACUAACCAACAAUGGAGAAUCAACCAACAGUAUAUGAUCAAUACUGUGAGUUACACUUCAUUAUUUUGACCAAAAUAAUGGAAUGCUUAGUUGUUUUUUAUUCACCAAAUGCGGUAAUUAAUUGUUGUAAAACAGAAUUUGUAAUAUUUUAAAACAGAAAACGAAAAAACAGAGCACGUGCAGGAAACGUAAAAUAGAGUCUGCCAGUGUGCGCACAAACCUUAGAAAUCCUCAUUCAUAGAGGACCAACGUUUGAAACACUCGUUCGUAGAGGUUGAACGUGAGAUACCAACCUUCCUCAAUCUAAGGGGACCCCAGAAAAUGUUCCUAUCAUGAAUGAGUCUCUAAGAACGUGUGUGCUCUCAACAGAUUCAAAUCUGCCCCGCACUCUUCGGGAAGACACAGUCUCUACAACAGCUCGGAACUGUCUUGAUCGUGGGAAUCAGAUUUGCUUAAGUAGUGGGAUGUGGUUAUUUUCUCCAUCUAUAAAUACUGCCACCUUUUGCUUCAGAAAAUGCAUAUCUCACUCACCUUCUUCACUUUUUCAUUUUCAUCUCAGCGUGCACGGUUCAUCUUCUUUUCUUCCUCCCCAUCUCUCUUCAUUUAUUCUUUUACUUUAUAAUUAUUUUUAUGAGUUUUAUUGGAUUCUUAUUCUUUUAAGAGUAACUUGCUAGUUCUGAUCCUUGAAAAUUUGUGGGAAGUUCCUGUUGUAUCAUGGGAGACUUGCGCAAUACACAAUACACCGCGGAUAAGUCCUUACGGAUAGUGAUUGCCCAUGCCUUGGGAAAUUAAUUUUGUUUGUGUUUAAAGCCUCAUUUUCUACAAUCGUAAGGACUUAUGACUGAAAAUGCGGACAACAACAACGCUGCACGUCAAAUGUUGUUUUUGCAACGCAAACCAUUUUUGCGAAACCAUUUUCGGAUGUCUCGAAAAUUGAAGUCUUCAUUACAACUUCUAUACCUGACUCAAGCACAAUUGCGAAACAAAUUGAUAAUUGGAUCCAUGCAAAUAAGGUAUGUCGUCACACCUUAUUUAGUGUGUUAUCUAACGAUCUGUUCGAUGUCUAUGCUUCGUACAAGGAAGCAAAAGAUAUUUGGGAUUCUCUUAUCCUCAAAUACACUGCCAAAGACAUCGUCAAACAAAAAUUCAUAAUCGGAAACUACUACCGUUGGGAGAUGAUCAAAGGCAAAGACAUCAAAAUCCAGAUAAACGAAUAUCACAAGCUGUUUGAAGAUAUCAAAGCUGAAAGCAUAGCCUUGCCGAAUGAAUUCGUGUCCAAUUUCUUGAUCGAAAAGUUUCCACAAUCUUGGACGGAUUACAAACAACAACUAAAGCACAAACACAAACAAAUGUCACUAUCAGAUCUGAUCACCCACAUCAUCAUUGAAGACACAAACAAGAAGGAGUUUCUUGCUGCAAAGGCCAAAACUUUGUCUGCCAAAACAAUUUUGGUAGAAGACAAACCAACUCCAAAAAGGUACGAGAAAAAAAUUUGAUCACAAAAAGAAACAUAAUAAUAAAUUCUCUCGUCCCAAUGGAACUAACCUCACUUUCAAGAAAAGGAUAAUUGCUUUGUUUGUGGAAAGUCAGGUCAUCAUGCACCUUAGUGGAGACAUAGGACCAAAAACGAAUAUUUUAAGUCAAUGAGCACCCCUUACGAUGCUAACUCUAAAUUAAAGAAGAACAAAGGAGAAUCUAUUUUUCAACUCAGUAUGCCCAGAUAAUUGGAAGCUUAUUGCAUUUAAUGAGCUUUUCUAGACCAGAUAUUGCUUACGCAGUAGGUAGACUGAGUAGAUACAUUCAAUGUCCUAGUCAGGAUCAUUGGGAUGCGCUUGCAAGACUCAUGAAAUACUUGAGAACUACAAAUGGAUUAUGUCAUUGAAUAUAAUGGUAUUCCCGUUGUGCUAGAAGGGUACAAUGAUGCUAACUGGAUCUCUGAUUCAGAUGAGACAAAAUCCAUUAGUGGUUAUGUAUUUACACUUGGGGGUGAUGCAGUUACAUGGAGAUCAGCCAGACAAAAUAUUAUUGCAAGAUCAACAAUGGAAUCUGAGUUUGUUGCUCUCGAAAUGGUUGGUAGUGAAGUUGAGUGGUUGAAAAACUUCUUAGCAAACAUUCCGUUAGGAAUGAAACCAACCUCAUAUGUAUUAAUGCAUUAUGAUUGUCAAUCGGCAAUAACUAUAGCUAAAAAUAAAACUUUCAAUGGAAAGAACGGACAUAUACAAUUGAGACAUAAUUUAGUGAAACAGUUGUUAAAGAGUGAAACGAUUUAUAUUGACUAUGUCAAGUCAGAACGGAACUUAGCAGAUCCUCUGACAAAACCCUCAGGGAGAAAACUGGUUUUAGAAACAUCGAGGGGAAUGAGACUUAAGCCACUUGCAAACAAACAAGUGAUGGAAACCAAACCUUUGUGAUUGGAGAUCCCAUGAAUAAGGUUCAUAUGGGUAAAAACAAGUCACUUGUUAGUUAUGCUAGCACUAAUAUUGAUUUAAAAUCAAUUUUGUCCAUUCCUAUGGUGAGUGUGAAAGUGUUAGAUACUGCAUUAUCGAGAGGAUAAACUUUAUGGUUAAAAUUCUAAGGUAAAAGAAUUUUAACGAUUUACAAAGUUUUUAAUGGUUUAUAUAUCCCUUAUGGGUUGUGUAUGAUUUGCAACAUACACUUGAUGAAAUCACCUAUAUGAGUGUCAAGUGGGGCCGCUUGCAUGAGAUCUUGACAAGAUCUCUAUAACACUCAUGAAUAUUGGGCACGCAUAUGGCCUAACCAGCGCAACACAACGAUAACAACAAGUAAUGUGGGGGUGUAUUGUGAUUGAUAAACCUCUAACACAUACUGAGUGUCUUGGUUCAUAUAGCUUGCUAUACUAGCUUUGAUGCAUUACAUCUUAGAUGAACCCAAUUUUUUUUUCUUUCUUUAUCUCUAUGUUUUAUCUUUUGCAAUAUGUGGGGAUUGUAAAACAGAAUCUGUAAUUGUAAAACAAAAUCUGUAAUAUUGCAAAACAGAAAAAGAAAAAACAGAGCGUGUGCAGAAACGAAAAACAGAGUGUGCGAGUGUGCACACAAACCUCUGAAACCCUCAUUCGUAGAGGACCAACGUUCGAAUUCGCAGAGGUUGAACGUGGGAUAGAGUCCCAACGUUCUGCAACCUAAUGGGACCUCCAGAAAUGGUUCCUACCUUGAAUGAGUCACUCAGAACGUGCGUGCUUUCAACAAAUUCAGCUCUGCUCCGCUCUCUCCGGGAAGACGCAAUCUUCUUCUCUGCAAGAGCUCUGAACCGCCUUGACCGUGGGAAGCAUAUUUGCUCACGUAGUGGGAUGUAGUUAUUUUCUCCAUCUAUAAAUACUGCAACCUUUUGCUUCAGAAAACACAUUUCUCACUCACCUUCUUCACUUCUUCAUUUUCAUCUCAGCAUGCACUAUUCAUCUUUUUCUCUUCCUCCCCAUCUCUCUUCAUUUAUUUUUUUACUUUAUAAUUAUUUUUAUGAGUUUUAUUGGAUUUUUACUCUUUUAAGAGUAACUUGCUAGUUCUGAUUCUCAUAAAUUUUCGAGAAGUUCCUAUUGUAUCCUGGGAGGCUACACAAUACACCGCGGAUAAGUCUUACGGACAGUGAUUGCUCACGUCUUGGGAAAUUAAUUUUGUUCAUGUGUUAAACCAUCAUUUUCUACAUUAACGAGGGAUGAUGUUGCAAGGACUUUCUCACAAAUGAAGUGUCUAACAAAAGGGAUGUAAUGUUUGUUUUCCUCUUGCAUUUGAUAGAAAAGAAAGCGUGCCGUCACUGUUCAUGUGUCUGAUAGCAACGGAAGAAGAUUGCAAGGAGCUUCCGUCCGUAUAGAGCAAAUAUCAAAAGACUUCCCUUUUGGAUCUGCAAUAGCAAAGACCAUUCUUGGCAACUUACCCUAUCAGGUUUGUAUAUUUUGCAUACCCCACUAACAACUAUAUUUCAUAGCAUAGAAAUGCAUGACAAGACUCAAUUCCUGUGUCCGUUCAGAAUUGGUUUGCGAAACGAUUCAAUGCCGCAGUCUUUGAAAAUGAGCUCAAAUGGUACGCCACAGAACCUGAUGAAGGCAGGGUCAAUUACACCAUUUCAGAUCAAAUGCUACAAUUUGUUAGAACAAACAAUAUCGUUGCCAGAGGGCACAACAUAUUUUGGGAAGACCCUAAAUACACUCCUCCAUGGGUUCUUAACCUUACUGGCAUCCAGUUACAAUCUGCUGUGAAUUCCCGAAUACACAGUCUCAUGAGCCAAUACAAAGAUGAGUUCAUACACUGGGACGUCAGCAAUGAAAUGCUUCAUUUUGAGUUCUACGAGCAAAGGCUUGGAUCUGAUGCCACAUUGCAUUUUUUUGAGACUGCACAUGAAUCAGAUCCAUUAUCAACCCUGUUCAUGAAUGACUUUAAUGUUGUGGAAACAUGCAGUGAUGUAAAUUCCACUGUAGACGCCUAUAUCUCACGGGUAAGAGAACUGCAACGAAAUGGCAUCUUUAUGGAUGGAAUUGGCUUGGAGGGACACUUCACAGUACCCAAUCCUCCCCUUAUCAGAGCCAUCCUAGACAAGUUGGCAACACUUGGACUUCCCAUUUGGCUUACUGAGGUUGAUAUAAGCAAGACAAUUGAUAGAGAUUCACAGGUAACUUAAUUUGCAUAUGGAGUUUUCAUAUUUGAUGUGAAUUUAAAGGUAUCUAUUGAGUUGACAUAACUGAAUCUCUUUGAUAACAUGUAGGCGAAAUAUUUGGAGGAAGUUUUGAGGGAAGGAUUCUCACAUCCUUCUGUGAAUGGGAUAAUGCUUUGGACUGCAUAUCAUCCAAAUGGGUGCUACCAAAUGUGCCUCACAGACAAUAAUUUCAAUAACCUGCCAGCAGGUGAUACGGUGGACAAAGUUCUUCAAGAGUGGCAAACAGGUCGUGUAGAGGGAGUGGCAGAUGUGCACGGUUCCUAUAGCUUUUAUGGCUUCUUAGGAGAAUAUUCUAUUACUGUCAACUAUGGCAACAGGACUACACAUUCAACAUUCUCCCUCUCUCCAGCUCAAGAAACUAGACAUUUCACCAUUACACUCUGAUCUCACACACUCUUAUAUAGCUGCUUAACAUCACUGCAAACAUUACUUUCAAAUUCCUCCUUUCUACUCCAAGCCUGCUUCAAUGAAGAUGCUGUGUUCAGAAUUUUUUUACAACUAUUCUCCCGAUCUGAGUGUUGUACAAUUAUAAUCAAUUAUCAAAUAGAUUUAUAAAAUAAACAGUCCAAUUCAAAAUCAUAAUAAACUUUUCCUCAUUUACUCUACACCAGCCAAAAUGCAGUCAUAAUUAUGAAACAAAUAUAAGUAAGAGGAAGAACGGUUUUUUGUAAAGUAAAUUGUUUAUUUUAUUUACAUUUCGAAUAAAGUCUUCAAAAUUUUCAUAGACAAACUAAUUUUAUUUAGUGGUAUCAUAAACACACAAACCCAACAUGUAAAAAAAUGGAUUGUGAUGGUUUCAACUUUUUUUUUAGAGUGUGCUGAAAUUCUCAAUCCAAUCUAUAUUGAGUUGAGAAUUAUUAUAAAAAAGAAAAAAGAUGAAGAGGUUGUAAGGAAUGGGUAACUCAUAAUUUAUAAUUAGAGGAAUCAUAACUCUAAUGUGAAUAUCAUUUUAGGGUUUUUGUGUGUGUCUGUAUGAGUAGUAAGGUAAAAUAAAUUUGGUAACAUUAAUAAACUUGUGCAGUAAUGUGACCUAGGGUGAUUAGUAAGGACAAAGAGAGUCAGAGUAAAUGUUUAUAGUGAUAUCGUUUCCAUUACACUACUAAAAUAUAAUAUAUCUUAUUCUAUCAAAUAAAAAUUAACCCAAGUUUUAGUGUUUAUUUUUAUAAUAAUAAUUUUGUAUUAAACCACAACUUUAAUACAAUACAUAUAGAAUAAAAUAUUUAAUUAUCUUAUUUUGAUAUAAUAAUUAAAAUCGCAUAAAGCAACACAUAAUAUAUAUUAUUUAAUAAUAUGUAAAAUUAAAAUAAAAUCACAUUCACCUAAUAUGUAAUAAAGAUUAGCAAGUAAGAUCACAUUAAACUAAUAUUGAAUUAUAAUAAUUAAUAGUUAACAGUGAAGAAAAUUAAAGUACAAUUAAAAAAUAAUUUAAAAAAAUGUAAAAUAGUCCUGAAAAUUAUGUAAGAUUAUGAAUAAUAUGAUGGCAGAGGUGCAUAAGACGGUGAAGAUUUAAAAAAACAUAAUCCCAUAUAAAGUGUUAAAAAUAAUAUAAUAAAAUAAAAAGGUAGAAGAAUGAAAAACUAAGUAUAUGAGGAAUGAUAUAUCGAUUCUCUCUUUCAUUGUACAAUCUUUAAUUAAUGAUAUAAAAAAUAAUAUUUUUAUCAUUUCAUAUAAAAAUUGAAAUUUUUUAUAAAGAAAUAGGAUUGUAUACGGGAGAAAGGUUGUUAAUGUAGCUUUUUUCUUAGUAUAUAUAGCAUAGAGCACGGAAGAUUGAGGGUAUGUUUAGAUUAGGAAGGGAUGUGUGAAAAAUUGAGAGAGUGAGGGUCUGUUUGUUUUAAGGGAACUACUAUUCACGAGGAUGAAAGUGCAAUGAUAUGUGUGCGGAGGAGGAAGAGAGAAUCACUGUGAACAGUACUUCCGUUACUUCUCCUCAUAUUACAAAGAAUCUUGCAGAACCUCUCAUAAGCAGGUGUGUUUUUUCCAUUAUAGUCUCAUUUUUUUGUCUUUGCAUAAAAGUAGCAUAUUACUUUCUUUUUUGUUGUAUAGUUAAUAUAUAUAAUAUAAUAUAAUACAAAUAAAAUAAUAUUAAAUAAUAUUAAAAUUAUCUAAAUAUAAAUAUUAAUUAUUACAUAAAUUUAACCAACACAAAUAUUUAAUGGUAUUAUUAAUAAAUUAUAAUUUUUAAAAUAAUGAUAAUAAAUAUAAAUUAAAUAAAAUUAUUAAAUAAUAGUAAUAUUAAUAAUUAUUAUUUUUAUAUCAAAUAUUUAAUAAUAUUAUUAAUAAGUAUUAUUUAUUAUUAAUAAUAAAUAAAAUUAUAUAUAAUAAAAUUAAAUAUAGUUAUUUAUAUAAAUAAAUAAAUUAGUUUUUUUAAAUUUUUGUAAUCUUAAGUUUUUAUUAAUUAAAAAAAUUAAAAUUUUAAUCAUACUCACCACUUUACUUACAAAUUUAUUAUUUUUAUGAAAAAAUUUCAUGUUUAAUGAUAAGAAAUUUGUUUUUUUAAAAAUAAUUAUUCAAUGAUAUUAGAAAUAAUUAGAAAAUUUUAACUAACUCAAAAUUACACAAAAAUACUACAUAUUUUAUUAUUCAAAUAUUUUUGAAGAUAAGGAUAAAUUUGUAAACUUACAUUUUACACAUUUAAAAAAAAUCAAACUUUUUUCACAACCAUCUCAUUAGUCACAAAUUCCAAUAAACUUUACUCACACAUUCAUUCUAACAUACCUCAAUCCAAACAACCUUACUUUCUUCACACUUUCUUCUCACAUCCACUCCUUCAAAUCCUCACACAUCUACUUCUUAAUCCAAACAUUGUGAAGAAAGUGAUGAUAUUUGGAUUGAGGUAUGUUAGAAUGGAUAUGUGAGGAAAUUUUUUGAGAAUUUGUUAGUCAUGUAAUGGUUGUAAGAGAAUUUUGAAUUUCUUUUAAAGAUAUAAAAUGUUACUUUACAAAUUUACCCUUACCUACUAAAAAAAUUAAUAAUUAAAUGAGUUUUUUUUUUUAAAAUAUAUUCAUAAAAUUUAAAAUUAUAAUUAAAAAAUUAAAUAUGUAUUAAAUAUAAACAGAUAUAAUUUAAAAAUUAUAAUUAAAAAAAAUAUAUUCAAUAAAUUAAAUAAAAACAAAAAUUUUAAAUAUGUAUUAUAAAAUUUGAAAAUAAAUCAAAAAAUAAAUAAGAUAUUAUAUAAAUAAAUAAAAAUAUUAUUUUUUAAUAUUAAAAAUCUUAUAAUAAUGAAAAAAAUACUAAAAAUAUAUAAAAAGUAAUUAACAAUAAAAAAGAAUUUCAUAAAAAAAUAGAAUUAAAUAAUUAUAACUCAUUAACAUAAUAAUUUAUAUAAAAAAUAUAUUAAUAUAAAUACAUUAACAAAUUAAAUAAAAAAAAUUCAAGUAACUUUUAAAAUAUUAAACAUAUAUUAUAAAAUUAUAAAAUAAAUCAUAUCUUAUAUAAAUAAAAAAAUAUUAUUUUUAAUAUUAAAAAACCUUAUAAUAAUAGAAAAUAAAAAUACUAUAACAGUAAAAUAAAUAAAGAUAAAUUAAAAAAUAUACACGCAUUCCCUCAACAUCUCUUUAUUUUCACAGAAGAAAAUAUUUACUAUUUACAACUAUAUUUUUUUUCUUUCUUCUCUUCCUCGUAGAACCCUAAAUCCAUUUCUCCUAUUUUUUUUUACCUGUGAAAAGAAUAAGAAGAGAAGCAAAUAGAUCGAGUGGGUGAGUGGUGGAAAGAGGGGGAAAGCAUUGAAGUAAUUUCAAUUUGAAAGUUCUGUUAGGGCUCUCCACUUGCGAGCCAAUUCAGAAAUUUGGGUUGACGAAGAGCCACCCUCCCUGAGAGCUGCGGCAGCGGCCUCCUUCAGUUCCUUCAUUCGGUGAAGAAGUUUCUUCCCUUCCUCACCUUCCAUCACCAUCUUCACAACCCUCGCAAUUUCUCCUCUUUCCACCGCCCCAUUCUCACCAAUCACCACUCUCACUGCCACUUUCAUACCUUCACUUACCAAAACGGUAUUCAUCUUCUGCUCAGCAUACAGUGGCCAAGUCACCAAGGGCACCCCAUUCACCACACUCUCAAGAACCGAGUUCCAACCACAGUGGCUGAGAAACCCUCCAGUGGAGGGGUGCCUCAGCACCUGGGCCUGUGGGACCCAAGACGGCACCACCAAGCCUCUUCCUUUUGUUCUCUCCACAAAACCCUCAGGCAAGAAAUCAAAAGGGUGGGCAUGAGUAUCCUCGGUGAAAUAAGAAGCAUUAGGAACUUCCUCAUUGGGGCACUUCACAACCCACACAAACCUCUGCUCGCUCAUCUCCAACCCCAAAGCCAGUUCCUCCAUCUGAUCUAUGGACAGGGUCCCACCGCUACCAAAACACACCAGUAUCACACUGCCUUCCGGCUGCGCAUCCAACCAUUUCAAGCACCAACACUGUUCGAUCAUGUUCACACCGCUUCCAGCAUCAUCCUCUUUCACCAGCGGUCCAAUCGGAUAAACCGGUGGCCUACCCGGUUCCUCCUUCAGCAGCAAGUCUAACGUGUCCGGUUCAAGAUCACGGAAGCUAUUUUCAACGAACCCCUCUGCUAAUAUGUAGCGUUUAGAGUGGUGCAAAAGCCAUUUGUAGGCAUCGUUAUCCUGGUCCUCAAAGGCAUCCCCCAAGUCCUUUCGUAGAAACGGCAAGCAGCCGGGGAUGUGGACAAGCUUGGAGGGGUCCCGGAAGUGAACGUCUUGGUCCAGGCGAGGGAGGUGCAAGGCGAAAGACAAAAGCAUGGCGGUGGAAGGGAAGAAGACGUAAGGGGGCGCGUUUAGUUGCCUGGCGAGGUCGAAGGCAUCGGUCCCGAAGAAGUCGAGGAGUAGAGCGGUUACGCGGUGGGUGGAGGACAGAGAGAGGAGGGCGUGGCGGAGAGAAGGGAGAGAGCGCAGGAGUGUGACAGAGAUUAUAGUCUCCAUUUUAGCGUUGGGUGGAAUGUCGGAGAGUGUUAGCGUUGGAAGGAAGGUGUAGGAGAUGAGAGGUGGGAGGGAGGUGAGGACGGUGGUUAGGGCCGUAGAGGGAGGAGCAUAGGUGGGUAUGAAGAAAGUGAUACGGAGGUUGUGGUGACGGCAGAGUCUCUUGGCGAACUCAAUCAUUGGAAUCAAAUGUCCCAUGCCUGGGCUUGGCACCAUGGCUACCACAGCUUCUAUUUCCCCUGACUUUUGUUGCUCUUCCAUGAUAAUUUCGCUUUGCAAAUUUGGGUGGAACAAGGAAGAACUUUUUAUUAUUGAUUUAUGUCGGUGUAAUGUUUGUAUUUUAGUGAAACUAGACACUUCAUUUUUGGUUAUAUUUUGAUUACAUUCAAACUCUUUCUUAACAUAAGUCUAACUUUUGUCUCAUUUUAGUCAAUAUUCAAUACUAAGUGCAACACCCCUUUAAGCUUAUGCUGAUGCUGAUUAAUUUGUAGACAGUAAAGUGGAACCAAGAAUUACUCAUCAACACUUACACUUUCUAUAACCAUACUUGGCUUUUGAGUUAUCCUACUCACACAUUAUUCACUUCUAAUUAUACAACAACAAUUCUAUAACUAAUAAAAUAUUUAAUUAAAAUAUAAAAUCAAUUAUUGAUUAUAAAAUUAAUAAAAUGAGUUGUAAGAUUAAAGCGGUGUCAAUCUAUCACUCUUAUCAAUGAUGAUGACACAGAAAUACCCAUUUUCUAUUAAACAUUGAUAUGACACUUUUAUUUUAAAAUAUAAAAUAAUUUGGGAUGAAUCAACUUUGAAAAAAAGAGUAAAACUAUUUUUUUAUUAGGUGGCUUAGGAAAAUUGAAGGGUGUGUAUGGAAAGUUUUCCUAACUACUAUGAUAAAAUUGGAAGAAAAAAAAAAGACGCGAUACAAGAUUCCAAAUUAACAAAAGUUAAAUUAUUUUUUAUUCCAUACCAAAAGUUUAAUUUGAUUUAAACAAUCUAACUACUAUGAAUAAAGCUUGCAAGGAAGAAAUAACUGGAAAUAGACUGUGAGAGACGUUUCACUCACUCCAAAAAUUAAUAUUAAUUAUAUAUUUUUAUUUUUAUAAUAUAUAAACUUUAUCUUUCAAUUUUAUAUUUUUACAAUAAACUUACGAUUUUUCAAUUAAUAAUCAUACGAGCAAUACAACAGUGAGAUUGAUCAAAUACAUGAAAACAAUGGAACCUAUCUAUCCAUACCUUGUUGUACCGGUAUGGCCGAGAGGCCGAGGGACCAAGACCUUAGAAGGCUUGGCCGAGAGGCCUAGACCUUAGAAGACUUGGCCGAGUGGCCGAGACCUGGGAAGACUUGGCCGAGAGGCCGAGACCUUAGAAGACUUGGCCGAGACGACCGAGACCACUGGAACAUGGCCGAUGGUCGACCCAUGCCAUGAUGAUUUGGCCGAUGGCCGACCCCUAUUACAGUUAACGCUCAAACCAAGAUCAGUGAAGUUAAUCUAUCAUUAAGAAUUAGGUAAUGCAAACCUAAGAGGUGUCCACCUCGAUAAAUGGGCCCAACAAGGUAGGCCCACUAGAAUAAUAUAAAUAGUACGCAUCCCAAGGAGUAAGGUAUGUCAUUUAUCACUCUGAGAGCUGACCACCCGCUUUACUGACUUGAGCGUCGGAGUGCCUUCGCAGGUACCCCCACCAUCCGGUGUUCAGUCGAGGCCGAGGGCCGAAGGAGAAGCAGGAGGACGAAGAGAACCUCAGUUCACUACCCAGUCACCUGACCGACCGAAGGAAGGAGAAGAAGACUUCGACAGUUCUCUAGGUCCCAUCUCCCUAGCAGGAACAGAAUUCAUAGUCUGUACCGGUACUGGGCGAGGCCGGGACCCACCUGCCUGCCCGACGCCCAGUCAAGCCUGACCGAGAGACUGAGAAGUCAAGAUCUUCAGAGACCUGACCGAACGGCCAGCAGACCUAGACCUCCUCUUGGAACAAGCCCUCCAAUUCGGAUUUCGGGCGACCAACAACCAGGCCGAGUACGAGGCCUUGCUGGCCGGGCUAAACCUAGCCUACGACCUGGGAGCGCGCGAGGUUACAUGCAAAAGUGACUCCCAGGUGAUGGUCGGCCAAGUCAAUGGAGACUUCGAGGUUAAAGAACCUUUGCUGCAGCGAUAGUACCACGCGGCCAAAAACAGUAUCGCCCGCUUCAGCAAAGCACCCUUGCAACACAUACCGAGGGAGGACAACAAGAGGGCCAACAUCCUGUCCAAGCUCUCGGUCACCAAAAAGAAGAGCCAUCAGAGGUCGGUCAUACAAAUAUGGCUGAGACACCCAAGUGUGACGGAAGCCGAGGCCGAGUGUCUAGCUGUAGAAGAAGAAGAGGCUGAGGCCGACAGUUGGAUGACACCCGUCAUCCAAUACCUGACAGACGGCACGUGCACGGCCGACCAAGAGAAGGCGAUGAAGCAACAAUGCGCCCGGUACACCAUGAUCAACGAAGAUUUGUACUGGAGAGGCUACUCGACCCCCUUGCUGAAGUGCAUCACCAAUAAAAGGGCCGAGUACAUCCUGGCUGAGAUCCAUGAGGAAAUCUGCGGAAAUCACGCCGGGGCGAGGACGAUGGCCGCCAAGGUCCUGAGAGCCGGCUACUACUGGCCGACCGUACAGGGCGACUGUGCCGAAUACGUAAAGAAAUGUGCCAAGUGCCAAGAAUUCAGCCCCCUCCUCCACACCAGGCCGGAAGAACCGCACAGCAUCAUCUCCCCCAUGGCCGUUCGCCAUGUGGGGGAUGGAUAUUAUCGAUCCAUUCUCCCCAGGGAAGGGGCAAACCAAAUUCCUCCUGGUGGGAGUCGACUACUUCACAAAAUGGAUCGAGGCCGAGCCUCUCGCCUCCAUCUCAGCGAAGAAUGUACAAAACUUCGUAUGGAGGAGCAUUGUCUGCCGAUUCGGCGUCCCACACACAAUAGUGACUGACAAUGGCCGACAGUUCAUCGACCGAGGCCUACAGUCCUUCUAUGACGACCUGGGCAUCAAGUCCAUCACGGCCUCGGUAGAACACCCACAAACCAAUGGGCAGGCCGAGGCCGCCAACAAGGUCAUACUCAACGAGCUGAAGAAGCGGCUGGGCAAGGCAAAAGGACGAUGGACCGAGGAACUAAUCGAGGUACUUUGGGCGUACAGGUGCACUCCCCAAACUACCACACAGGAAACGCCCUAGCCUGACAUAUGGAACCAAGGCCAUGAUCCUGGUAGAGGUGGCCGAGCCCACCAUACGACGGCAGAUGUUCGAUCUCACCCUAAACCAGGAAAGCCUAGCGGUCAACCUCGACCUGGUAAGUGAGCUUCGGGACAAAAGCAAGAUUCGGGAGGCCGCCUGCAAAGCCCGAGCGUCCAGACGGUACAACACCAAAGUCCGGCCUAGAGGUUUCCAGAAGGGCGAUCUUGUCUGGAGAAUGCGCAGCGACGCAAGAAAAAACGAAGGGAAGUUCUCAUCCAACUGGGAGGGGCCUUUCCGAGUCCGGGAAGUCGCACAAGGAGGAGCCUAUCAUCUAGAAUGGCUUUCAGGAAAAAUUGUACCGAGGACGUGGAAUGCCACGCACCUCAAAUUCUAUUACAGCUAAAAUCAAUAAAAUCACGCACUCUUUCCUCACCCAAUCAGGAAGGUUUUAACGAGGCGUUUUCAUCAAAAGUGUUGGAAAUAUUCUACCGAGAGUACCGGCCGACUGCCCACUCGCUCGAUUAACAUCGCAAGUGCCGGCCUACCGACUGCCCACUUGCUCGAUUAACAUCGAAAGUGCCGGCCUGCCGACUGCCCACUUGCUCGAUUAACAUCGCGAGUGCCGGCAAACCAACCGCCCACUUGCUCGAUAGACAUCGCAAGUGCUGGCAAACCGAUCGCCCACUCGCUCGAUUAACAUCGCGAGUGCCGGCAAACCAAUCGCCCACUCGCUCGAUUAACAUCGCGAGUGCCGGCAAACCAACCGCCCCCUUGCUCGAUUAACAUCACGAGUGCUGACCAACUGAUCGCCCACUUGCUCGAUUAACAUCGCAAGUGUUGGCCGCUCGAGUUUAACACUCGCAAUUAAUGGCCGAUCGCCCACAUUUUACUUGCUCGAGUUUAACACUCGCAACUAAUGGCCGAUCGCCCACAUUUUACCUGCUCGAGUUUAACACUCGCAAUUAAUGACCGAUCGCCCACAUUUUACCUGCUCGAGUUUAACACUCGCAAUUAAUGGCCGAUCGCCCACAUUUUACCUGCUCAAGUUCAAGGCUCGAUAUUAGUGGCCGAUCGCCGAAAUUUUACCUGCUCAAGUUUAAGGUUCGCAACUAAUGGCCGAUCGCCCAUAUUUUACGCGCUCGAAUACAAUAUUCACAAUUGAAGGCCGACCGCCAGAUUUUACUUGUUCGAAUUCACACAAUCGCGCUUAUGGCCGACCGCCCAAGGUCUUACUUGUUCGAAUACAUUCGUAAGUUUUGGCCGAUCGCCCGAACUAGUGGGAGAUCGAUUGUUUAACUUAUCAAUUAUUAAUACAAAAUGACAAAGAAGGAAACUGGACAAUAUAUUAAUAAAAGCACCGGGCGAUACAUCAAAAUACAAAAUAAGAAGGCCACGCCCCGGCCUUGGAGGAUGCUUAAAGAAAGAAGGAAAAAGCCACAACCCGGCCAAAGGUAUAAGCCUAGUCCUGCACCUCAAUGCACUCACCCUCCUCGGCCUCAGCCUCCCUACCCUGAACAUCGGCCUCCCCUCCUUCGGUCCCGGCCGGUUAAACCCCUCGAGUAGUCAAGGCCGCCACUUCAGCACUCGGCAUGAUCCGACCCUGAUAGACUUCACAAUCAAGGUCGAACUCCCCAGCAGCCGGCGGCCCUCCAUAUAGCACGUGCGCUUGACGCACGGCUCUUUCAAAGCACUGCUUCAGUAACUCCUCGGCCUCGUCGUAAUUCUCGUCGAGUUCAGCUUCGACUUUGGCCUUGGCAGUUUGAAGGGCAAGUACCUCAACGGCCGACUAGGCCAGCUUCCUGUCGGCCCACUCCUUCAACUGGGCGACCUCAGCAGCCGCCCUCCUCUUCUCAGCCUCAAGCUGCCGCUUGGCCUCGGCAGCCUCAUUUUGAGCCAGCUCCCUAUCGGCCGACUCCUUUGCAAUCUUGGUUGUCAAGUCAGCGUUAGCAGCCAAAGAUUGAUCCAAGGACUGGGUGGCCUCCAAGAGCUGAUGCUCCAAGUGUGACACGGUCUCCACGUGUCGGUCUUGCCCCUGGAGACCGUGCUGGAAAAGCACCACCGAACGGCACACGAGCUCGAGGCCACUCCUGAAGAGCUCUGUCGGGGCGACGCCUUGGAGGGACUCCCGAGACUCAUCGGGGAGCGCCACACGAACCCUUUAUGUGAACUGAUGGCCGCGCCCCAAGAGAUCAAAGGGGGUCGGCCCAGAUGAGCCCGGGCGGGAGCGAGGAGAGAGCUGCGCCACCUCGGCCGCCUCUCGACGAGGAGGAGGCGGGAUCGGCAUCGAGCCAGGGGACCGGACAGUAGUUGCUAUGUUACUACCCUCUCUCGGCCUCUUUUUGGACUUCUGGGAAGGACCAGCCCGCUCCCUGGUUGGGGCCGCCACCUCACUGACCGGAGGCAUCACGUCCAAGCUGCGGCGACCCCUGCGCUCGGUCGCUUUCUGUCGGUGCUUAUCAAGCACGCCAACAGCACUUGGCCGCUCGUUCACCAUGGUUUCUGCAAAAAGAAAACACAAGUUAAUAAAGGCCGAACGAUGAAAGAUGACGACCAACGGACCAACUAAACGCCAAAACAAAAACCCAUACCCCGAACGGCCGCCCAACGCCCAGGCUUGGCAUAAGCCUUGACCAGCGUCCGACAUGGGAGCCUCCUCGGGAGGGCGUCAAAGAGCGAAAGAAUUUCCAUCUCAUCGGCACCCUCUGUCGGCCUCGGCCAUUCUUUGAAGCCGCAGGGCUUGCGAGUCCAGUAGAGAGGGAACCUCGAUCUACCGGACUCGUAAAAAAAUAUGGCUGUCGCCUCCAGCCGAAUGAUGACUUUAACGAAACGCUCCUUAAAGCUUUUGUAGGAGCCGACAAAUAGGGCGAACAAAACACUACCCGUCCGCCCAACCAGUGAAUGCCACAAGGCCUUCUUGGCAGGGUGAGAGGCAUAAUGACAAAGAAAACAAGAGGGAGAAGGAUGAAGGCGCAUUACGCCGCACAACAGGCGGAAGGCCUGAAGGGACGCCCAGGUAUUCGGAUGAACCUGGGUGGGCGCCACGUUGAGCGCUCGAAGAACGCCCAUCGUAAACGUGUCAAAAGGCAAAGACACGUGGAGGUCAGAAAAGAAGCAAGUGUACAUAUAAAAGAAAGGGGGACCGUCACCCGGUCGCCCCAUACACACUCUCUCAGUUGGCCCACAAGGCACAACAUCGAAAUAACUAGAGUGGCCGCCCGGCUUUAAAACUGGGUUCUUAACAAAGAACUCGGCCACGCACUCCGCAGUACUAUAUGUGGAAGAUUUCUCAACCACGUUAGGAUCCACCCAGCUAAAAUCCAUUAGCGGUAUGGCCGAGGGAGGAGAGUCCGACCGGUCACACGCAACCGCCGGAUCAUCCUCCCUCACAACUUCCACCGGGGACGACCCCUCGGCCAACCCAACGGACUGGGAGCCGGUGGAAGAAGAAGAAGAUGAAGAGGAAGACUGUCCGAUAGGAGAAAUCGAACGGCCAGCAGAACACAUUGGACGGGCGGAGGGAGAAGAUGUUCGACCAGAUGAAGAGGAUGUAGGCCGAGACCGGCUCGACAUGACUAACCUUUUUGGGAAAUGAAGUAUGGACGAAGGAUCACUCGGCUAUCAGAGCUAAGGGCGAGAGUGCACUCGGCUAUCAGUUCGCUCCAAUAAAAGUUAUAAGAACGCGACGCUGUGGUGGACCCCUAUAUAUAGGGCCCAUGGGCCUCGAAAUUCGAAACGUCGUAUCAAUCUCAACCGUUAGAUCUAAGAGAUCUAACGGUUCACAAAUUCCCCCGCCCAAAAAAAACCCUCAUCAAUGCGCGUCACGUCGCGCCGUCUGAGGUCAUGUCACGCCGCUUAGUCAAAUCAUACCUCGAAAAACGAAACGACCGCACAACCAAGGGAGCCCAACCGACUCCCAUCAUCAAAGACUCAUCGGACAUAUCUAACACAUCUGCCCUUGAGCCUGGGGGGCAAGUGUACCGGUACUGGGCGAGGCCGGGACCCACCUGCCUGCCCGACGCCCAGUCAAGCCUGACCGAGAGACUGAGAAGUCAAGAUCUUCAGAGACCUGACCGAACGGCCGGCAGACCUAGACCUUUGUAUACUUGGCCGACUGAUGAGUGGCCGAGACCUUUGCAUACUUGGCUGACAGAUGAGUGGCCGAGACCUUUGUAUACUUGGCCGACUGAUGAGUGGCCGAAACCUUUGCAUACUUGGCCGACUGACGAGUGGCCGAGACCUUCGGAGACUUAACUGAGACGGUCGAAGACCACAUUUAUUUGGCCGAUGGCCUACCCUCACCAUGAGAAUUUGGCCGAUGGCUGAACCCUAUUACAAUUAACGCUCAAACCGAGAUCAGUAAAGCUAAUCCAUCAUCAAGAAUUAGGUAAUGCAACCCUAAGCGGUAUCCACCUCGAUAAACGGGCCCAACAAGGUAGGCCCAUUAGAAUAAUAUAAAUAGCACGCAUUCCAAGGAGUAAGGUAUGCCAUUAUUACUGUUCACCUACCUGAGAGCUAACCACCCGCUUUACUGACUUGAGCGUCGGAGUGCCUUCGCAGGUACCCCCACCAUCCGGUGUUCACCCGAUGACCGAGUCCCGAGUGCCGAAGGAUAAGCAGGAGGACGAGAAGAAUCUCAGCUCAUCACCCAGUCACCUGCCCAACCGAAAGAAGACGAAGAAGACUUCAAUAGUUCUCUAGGUCCCAUCUCCCUAGCAGGAACAUAGUCAUUAGGAAGAGUUAAUAGUUUCUUUCUUAAUUAAUCAUGCAAUUCUGUAAGAUUCUAAUUAAACUCAGUAACCAUUCAAUUAACAUCUUUAAAGUAUUAGGUAUUACAAAUCAAAGUAUAUAAAUGUCUUGAUAAUUAUUAUGAUAAUAUCAAAUCUAAGGAAAUUAUUAUUAUACUUUUUCACAGAAUUUUCGGACUAAGAUAAUAUUUAAUUUUGCCUCUCAGCAUUUAAUUUUUUAUUAGAUUUAUUGUGAAACGUUUCAUAUUGCUGAUCAUUUAAUUUUACGUUGUUUUUUAUUCCUCUCAAUCAUUAUAUUUUUUUUUUUUUGGUCUUGUCUAGUUAGUUCAUGAUUAUGUUUGUUAUUGUAUAAAAUUACUAUAGGUGUGAUAUACUAUGAUAUGCUACUGGAAGAGUCUGUGUUCUGUUAGGAGAUUGACGCUUCAUAAAGAUAAAUUUUAAUGAAUCCCGUUUAAUUUUUAAAAUGAAUAAUUAUUAUUUCAAUCAGAAUAAUUACUUUUGAAUCAAUUCUAAUUAUUUUUAAUAAUGGACAAUUACUACUCAACCAGAAUAAUUGUUUUGUAAUAAAUGCAUUUUAUUUUAUAAUUAACUUUUUAGGAUAAUAAGUUAUUAGUGUAAUUAUUGUAUGUUAUUGUCCCUCUUAUUUGUUCUGGCGAAUGGAAUGGAAUUUUUCACCAAUAUCACUAAAAGAAUCAAGUAAUCAAAUAUACAGACACAAAAUAAUUAGUCCAUAAUGCAAAUUCCUCAAUUUCCUUAUUCGUCUUUCGUGGUAUUUCAGUUAUUAAUAAUCUUAUGGAUGAUUAUUAGUAUCCUCUCAAAAUGAGGUGUUUUUUUAUUGAAGGCAUAACACCUCAAUAUGUACAAUUUUGUCAAAUACGUAUAAUCACACGUAAAGUUGACCAAGGGAUGAAGGUGCAACGAAUGAUAGAAAGAAGAUUAAUAAAAAAACAAAAAAUUUGCUCCAUCCUAGUUUCUCAGUGCCGAACAAUACAGAGAAAACGGUAUAAAUAUAUACCUAGAUGAAGAAAAAAAGUUAUCCAUGAUGUAUUUUUAUUCAAUAUACGUUUUUACUUAUAAACUCUUCAAUUAUGUUUCUGAUAAAUAUAGUUUGUCUCUAUUUCAUCACAAAACCUACACAAUAAAGUCAAGAAAAUAGUAAGUAGUGGGGUUGUUGUGAGAGUGGACGAGAAAGAGAAUGAAUGGUAGGAAGAAUGCACAGUGGUUUGGAGAUGGAAGAGAAUGCCAUGAUUAUGGAUAUGCACAAUUUUGUUUCAUCUCUUCCUAUCCUAUGCUUUCUAAAUAUUGAAAUUAGAAUUAUAAUAUGCAAUUCAAAAUAUAUUUUUACCUAUUGGAAAAUAUGAAUGGUGAGAAGACUGUAAAGUGGUUUAGAAAUGGAAGAGAAUCCAAGAUUGUUGAUAUGGCUGUUUGGAAAUCCAAAGACAACUCCAGAGGCAGAAAGAACCCUACGAAUCUUUAACUUUUCAGAUAAUAGAUUUUUUUCAAUUAAUUAUGUCAUCAUAUACGUAUUUAUAUGUGUUGAGUAUUUACUGUUUCUGAUAAAUAUAGUUUGUCUCUUUUCAUCACAAAACCUGCACAAUAAUGUCAAGAAAAUAAUCAGUAGUGGGGUUUGCUGGGAGAUUGGAGGAAAAAGGAAAUGAAUGGUAAAAAGAUUGAAAACUGGUUUUGGGAUGGAAGAGAAUGCCAUGAUUGUUGAUAUGCCUGUUUGGGAAUCCAAAGCGAACUCCAGAGGCAGAAACAACACUGUGAAUCGUGAACUUUCAGAUAAUAGAUUUUCUGUUUUUUGCAAUUAAUUAUUGUACGUUAUUGUACACAAUUGUUGUACGUUAUUGUCUCUCUUAAUUGUUCUCGUGAACAUAAUGACAUUUUUCAUCAAGAUCACUAAAAAAAAUCAGUGACCAAAUUUAGAGACAAAAAAUAAUUAGUCCAUAAUGCAAACCCCUCGAUUUCCUUAUUCGGCUUCCGCUAAUACAUAUAUUUUUUAUAUUUGUGUGAGUACCACGAACUCCAAACACAUAGAAUAUCCCUUGAGCUUCUCCCACCAGGUAGUCAUAUUAGAAUUUAUCGAUAUUAUAUAUAUGCUCUUGGUGAUAUUUUAGUUACUAAUAAUCUUAUGGAUGAUUACUAGUAUCCUCUCAAAAUGGGGUUUCUUUUAUUGAAGGUAUAGCACCUCAAUAGGUACAAUGUUGUCAAAUAUUUAUAAUCACACAUAGAGCCGACCAAGGGAUGAUGAAGGUGCAACGAAGGAUAGAAAGAAGAUUAAUACAAAACAAUAAUUAUGCUCCAUGGUCAUAUUUUAAAGUUGAAAUUCCAACUAGUUUCUCGGUGCCUAACAAGUACAGAGAAAACAAUAUAAAUAUAUCCCUAGCCGGAGAAAGUUAUCCAUGAUGUAUUGUUAUUCAAUAUAAGUUUUUGCUUAUAAACUCUUUCAUUUUGUUUUUAUCUCUCUUCCUAUUCUUUCCUGUAACAAAAGAAUAAAUUCUUCAUGGGUCAAAAAUAUUUAAGAUUCUACAGUUUUUAAUAUAUUUUCAUAUUAUCUCAUUCUAAAUAUUGAAAUUGGAAUUAUAAUAUGCAAUUUAAAAUAUAUUUUUAACUGUUGAAAAAUAUGAAUGGUGAGAAGAAUGGAAAGUGAAUUAGAAAUGGAAGAGAAUAACAUAUGCGGAGGAGAAAGGGAAUGAAUGGUAAGAAUAAUGAAAAGUUGUUGUGAUCAACGAAUUUCAUCCACAAACUGAUGGUUAAAUAGAGAUUGUGAACAAAUCCAUUGAGGCUUAUCUCCAUUGUGUUUUUGGGGACACUCCUUCCAAGUGGAAUGAGUACUUACCUCUUGGAAAAUUGUGGUACAACACUUUCAUUCAACUAUACAGUUAACUCCAUUUGAAGCUCUUUAUGGCUAUCCUCCUUCUAUUCCCACCAUUAUACAAAAUAAAGAUUCCUUAAUAGAAACGGUAGCCUAUACUAUGAAGACACGUGAUGAAAUUAAUCCGCUAUUAAAAGCAAAUAUGGUUAAUGCACAACAACGUAUGAAGUUUUAUACGGUUUAAAAAGGAAUGACAAAUAGUACCAGGUUGGAGAUUGAGUUUAUUUAAAGAUUCAACCAUGUAGGUAGACAACUUUAUCCAAUACACAUUUUCACAAGUUAGUUGCCCAAUAUUAUGGUCCCUACAAAGUUUUAGAAAGAAUUGGCAAUGUGAAUUAUAAAUUGGAAUUACCUACUGACUCUGACAUUCAUAAUGCUUUCUAUGUUUCCUUACUCAAACCAUCACAUAGAAAUAAACCAGUGUCUACAACUUUACUUUUUGUUUACUGAUAGUUGUCCUUUUGCUGUCAAAUUAAGAUGAUUUCAGCGUAGACUUGUCUAACACUAGAUAGAUGAUAGUAUAAUUGUAGUCAAAUGACCCCAAUUUGUCUCCCAACGAAUCCAUAGGGAAAUUAGUAAAUCAAUGUUUAGAAUUUAUCUAUAAGCAAGAAAAGUUAGCAAUAACAAUAAAGAUAAAAGGGGGUUGAGAUAGUUGUGAAAAAAAAAAUAUAUAAGAGAUUAAAACAGCAAAUAGAAAGUGGUUGAUCCCUAAGUUCUUUCACCAUUGAAUUCUUCACAGGUUCUCUAAAGAUUAAUCAUUUCUCAAUCCUCCACAAAGAUAAACUAGAUUGAACAUGCGUCAAUCUAAUUCAACCGAAGUUCACCUGUAAAACAUGCGUGUACUGGUUUAAUCAAGACUAUUGGUUUAAUCAAUACCCAUUUUGUUCUAUGCGUAUACUCUAUAGGAAUGCUUAUCUCCUCUCCCUUGAAUCAUGCAUCCAAUAAUUAAUUAGAACAGUGCAAACUAACUAAGAAACCAAAGUUUAAGAUAAGGAAGACUCUCAAUCAUGCGAUCAAGUACAACCUCUCACAAAAACCAACUUUCCAGGAGAUUAGAAUAUUAAAACAACUACUAUAGAGAAAUAAAAAACGAAACUUUUAUUAACCAAAACCUCUGAACUCAAUGAGAAAUUACAAAAGAAUCAACCAAAAAGGUUUAGCCUUCCAUGAGGAGACAAAAAAAUAAUUACAAAGAAGAAAAGAAACUAAGAAAAGCCUAUUAAGCUCCCUUAUAGUUGUCGUUUUGCUGUCAAAUUAAUAUGAUUCUAGCGUAGACUUGUCUAACACUAGAGAGAUGAAAGUAUAAUUAUGGUCAGAUGACCCCAAUUCGUCUCCCAAAAAAUCCAAUAGUAACAUCAGUAAAUCGGUGUGUAGAAUCUAUCUACAAGCAAUAAGAGUUAGCAAUAACAAUAAUAAUAAAAGGGGGUUGAGAUAGUUGUGCAGAAAAAUAUAAAAGAGAUUAAAAUCACAAAUAAAAAGUGGUUGAUCCCAAGUUCUUCCACCAUUGAAUUCUUCACAGGUUCUCUGGAGACUAAUCAUUUCUCAAUCCUCCAACAUAGCUAAACAAAUCGAUCAUGCGACAAUCUGAUUCAAUUGAAAUUCACCAGUAAAGCAUGCGUCUAUUGGUUUAAUCAAUACCCACUUUGUUUCAUGCAUAUACUCCAUGAGAAUGCUUAUCUCCUCUCUCUUAAAUCAUGCUCCCAAUAAAUUAAUUAGAAAAAUGUGAACUAACUAAAAAACCAAAGUUUAAGAUAAGGAAGACUCUCAAUCAUGCGUUCAAGUACAACCUCUCACAAAAACUAGUUUUCUAGGAGAUUAGAAUAUUAAAACAACUACUAUAGAGAAUUAAAAAUCAAAAGUUUUAUUGAUCAAAAUCUCAAAACUCAAUGGAGAAUUACAAAGGAAUCAACCAAAAAGAUUUGCCUUCCAUGUAGAGACAAAACAAAAGAAUUACAAAGGAGAAAAAAAACUAAGAAAACCCUAUGAAUCUCCCCCCUUUCUCCUUGAUGCUUGUGUCCUUUUAUAGGAUUUUUUGUUCCAAGGAUCUUGGGAAAAAAAUUGUAGUUUAUAUUUUUUUAACAAUUUUCAAUUUUCCAUAGUUCUUGUAUUUCGCAGAAGAUUUUCUUCCACUUCUAUUUCUGAGAUAUUGUAGCUUUUAUUUCCUCCUCCUUCUCCUCAGAUUUUGUUUUCUGUUUUGAUUCAAAGAAGCAACUUGGACUUUUGCAUAUUUGGUCAAUUUACAAAGGUAGACACUUCCUUCAUAGCAUUUACUCUAAAAACACAAUUAACAAAAAUAAUAGUUAAGACACAAAUAAACCCAAUUAUAUGAAUAUUAAUUAAAACGAAGAAUUUAUUUGUUAUUAUAGUCCAAUAAUCUAUGAUUAAGGUUAUUGAGUGUGAAUAAAUAUAUGCUUAUCACUGACAAGAAGAAUCAUUUUGUUCCACAACCAUUGGUGAUUCUAGCUCACAAAAUAAAAAAACAAAAUAAUAAAUCUGUAACUGAAGUGUAAAGACAAACGCCACUUACCCAUCCGAAGAGCGAAAAACGUCUUUGAAACCCAAGUUUCUCCCCUCAGCAAGCUCUCUAGAGUAAUCUCAUACUCACUUUCUACCUAACCUUCCAUACAAAAUUGUCCUUGCAACAUCACCAUCCAUCACAUUUACAUUGUUACCCUUUGCCACAUCAUCAAUCAUAGCCACGUUUGCGGUGUCAACAAUGUGUAAGGAAAUAAGAGUGUCAAGAAAACAUUUUCCAAAUAAGUAUCAUACUUCGUUUGGAUGCUCAUAGUACGAAAGAAGGCACUAAAGUGAAGUCUGAACAUGGAGGCCAUAAAGAUGGGUAAUUAGUAAAUGGGUUACAAUUAAUUACUUUGCAUAUAUAAUCAUAAAUAGUCAUUUUUGCAAAUAAAGUUGAGAUGCAAGCAUGGAGACAAACAAUUGGUUAUGGCAAAGUACUAAGCACCCAUGUUAUGAAAUUGAAUCAGAAGUCAAAUAAGGUUUUGCUGUCUCCCACAUACCAAAAUACAAAAGUGCUAAAGUCCAUUAUUGAUGCACAGAAUAAGGAACCACGUAAAAAUAGCGGCAGAAAUGAAUACCGAAGCCAAAAUAUGGAGUCUAAAUCAUUGCUGCACAUAAUUUAAGCAUGUUAUGUUUAAGCAUGAGUAGAGAAUGUGUAGUGAUCAGAUUCGCAGAACAUUAUGAAGGGUAGAUUCAGCAAACCUAAAAGUUCUUGCGUAAAAGAGACAAUGCAUUUCACAGAUGAUUAUGGUAUGAUCACGUUCGGCUACAUUAAAAACUAUCCCAUUUUUAUUGUUGGUGAUCAAAUUAUCAAAGAGAAAAAAAAAUACAUUUUUUUUAAUAAUUGAAGGACUGACUUUAAUUCAAAAAUACAUAAGAUCAAGUUCGAUCCGGAAAAAACAGACUUUUCUCCUAAAGUCAUUUUUAAAGAUCAUGGUUAAUUACCUCAAAUACAAGAAUGCAGUUCAAACUUGAAGAUAUAUUUCAAUCUCAACAUUUAAUGCGACUUUUUAUAUAGUGUUGAAGAAUUGUUAUAAGUGUUUAGUAGAGAUGGAAUGUUUAUUCAAAGCUUUUUAAGAAAAUAUUUAUUAAUAUUGUAGCUUUUAGAACAUUGUUAUAGUAUUUUAAGAUAUACCUUCCAGUGUUUAAAGUAAUGUCAUUCAAUGUCUUACAUAUGGUAAACAAAAAGAAAUAAAUUAUCAUAAUAAAUAUUAGUUUAAUACCCAAAUUAUAUUUUACUAUAACUUUUUUUUAUAAUUUUGUAAGAGUUAAAUUACUUGAGUGUCAGAUAUUAACUUCAUCUACAAGUCACAUAAGGAUUUUAGAUUUUUUAUAACAAAAAAAAUAAGAAUAACAAAAAGAUACUCCAACAACAAUUGCCCAAUUUCCUUUAUUUAAAGGAGAAAGUCAUGAUAUUUUAACUAUAAAAAUGAAAAAAUUUGUUUACUUUCUUAGAUGUCGUAGAGAUCAUAUAUACGAAGGUGAAGCCAAUAUAGUCACACAUGUAUCAAAGAAAAAAUAAAAUAACUGAUGUUGGAGUUAUUAGGAUGAUACAAAUACGUCAUAUUUUUAAGAACUAUGAGGACAAAAACAUUAAAAAAAUGUGAGAUAACCUUAAUAAGUGUUCAAAUGAUAUUCAAAAGUGAAAAUAAUCAAAUUUCAAUAAUUUAUAAAGGGAGAUUUUGAAGAUGAAAAAAAGAGUUUAAAUGAAUACUUCAAUAAAUAGUCUAGGUUAAUAAAAUGAAGCUCUAAAAAGAUAUAAUCAAUGAUCUACAAUUUUUUUAUAAAAUUCUUAUUAGUUUAACGGAUGACGGUUAUAAAAUGAAGACUUAUGUCAAUCAUCACUAGCGCAGAAAUGCUAAUCAAAUGCGGCUAUUUUACAUUUACAAAUGCGGCUAUAGAGCCGCAUUUGAUCAGCACGCAGUAGUAAAUCAGAGAAAUAUAAAUGCGGUUAUAGAGCCGCAUUUGUAAAUGCGAUUUACGAAUGCGGUUAUUUCAAAUAACCGCAUUUGUAUAUUCUUCUGAAUUAGCAAAAGGGUUUUAGGGGUUUUAGGGUUUUAGGGGUUUUAGGGGUUUAGGGGUUUUAGUAUAUGAUUUAAGAAGAGUGGAAGAGGACAAAGAGGAACAGCGGCAGCGGCGACGACAGCGGCGGCGGAAGCAGUGGCGGAGCGGCGAGCCAAUGGAAAAUACCUUCGAUAUGCAGCAAUGGAAACCGAAACCCAUUAAAAACGAAAGCAAUAGGGAAAGCGAAAGUCAUUAAAAGCAAUGAAGUUCAAUGCAGUUGCAAUGGAAACGAAAUACCUUCGAGUGCAGCAAUGAGUUCGAAAACGAGAGAAAACGAAGAAGAGAGAUGAGCGCAAAGAGAAAGAAACUACGAAACUGUUGAGAAUAUUUAAAUAACCGCAUUUGUAAAUCAAGCGCUUCAAUUUACAAAUGCGGUUAAAAGUAAUAACCGCAUUUGUAAAUCAAAUUAAUUUCAAAAAUGUCACCGCGUUUUUUUACGAAUGCGUUUAAGGGCUGAGCCGCAUUAAAUAAGGAGCGCUCUUUUCUUAUUUUUGUGCUCUUUUCUUAUUUUUGUGCUAGUGCAUAUGUGAUUUUAGAUUAAUGGAACCACUUAGAUCUUAUAAAUAAAGUCAUUAUAUUAUAUUGAAAAAUCUAUCGAAUUUGGAAGAGAGAGUAAGAAACUCAUUUAGAAAAGGAACAAAUUACUAUAACAAAAAAAGGAAAGAAUGGAAUAUCAAACAAAUGAUUUGCAAUCAAACAUAAGAAAAUCACGAAAAAAAAUUUGUUGAAAUAAAAGUGAAUCAAUGUUACAAUGACAAAAAAUAUAAAUAUAGUCAAAACUAUUGUCACUUUAACAAUCAAUAUAAUUUAUUUGCUAAAGUAAAAACGUGUUAUAUUUAGCUUGCCGUUGUAAAACCAUAUAUAAUAAGAGAAAAUAAAUAUACUAUAGAGUUACAAGUUAAAUUAGGAAAUAUAGAGUAUGUUGAAGUAGAAGAUAAAGACAUCAUUAGAGUUACAAGUAAGUAAGAAGUUUGAAUUAUAAAAAGAUUGUGAUCCAUAAAACUUUGAGGAAGUGAAAUUAGAAUUUUACAAAUUCUAUCUCAAACCAGAAGAGAAGUUUUUGGAAAUUUUAGAUCAAUGUGUCAAUAAAUAAGGAGAAAAUGUUAAAUAACAAGUUAUAAGUAUUCAAAGAAAAUUAACUAUUAAAAAUAUUUAAUAUAAGUUUUAUCUUUUUUAGUUUUUAAAAAAUCUUAGAAUAUAUAAAAAAUGUAAAAAAUAAAAUAAAAACUAAUUCAAUAUUUAAAUUAUAUUUUUUAUACUAAAAACAAUUUAGAACACAAUUAUAUUGAAUUAAAUCCAUUAGUGUUUGAUACCAACCUUAUUACCACACCAAAUACUAAUUAAGGAAAACAAUUUAUUUUUUGAUGAUUAUAUUUUCACAUCCUUCCCCUUUUUUACACCUAUAUUACAAUUAUUAUUAUUAUUAUUCUUAUAAAUUUUUUAUAAUAUUUAAUUACAAACAUAUGCUUUAUUAUAUUUUUUUAUUAAAAUAGUCAAAUAGGAGUUGUUCUUUGAGGUUAAAGUAUCAUUUGUGUUUUAUUUCAAAUAGCAUCUAUUACAACAUGAAUUUCUGCAUUAAUUUGCAAUCAAUACACACGAAUCUUCUUUCUUGAUGACAAAAGAACCAAUUAAAACUUGUCUUCAUUGAACAUUUGGAGAAAUAUUUACAUCAUAUAUCGAGAAGCAACUAGUAUUAACGUUGCAAUUCGCCACAUGACCCAUCUGGUCUUAAUUUUUGUUUUGGUUCUGACGCAAACAUGAAUGCAUUGCAGAUCUAUUCUCGGAAAUCAGCUGGGAAACACUCAUAAUUGAAUCACGACAAGGAAUUUACAUUAACCAUCAUUUUGCUUCGAAAUUGCUUCAAAACGUGCAGAACAGACUGAAUAACUAAUUAUGCAGACACCCACGUUAACCACCACUUGGCCUGACAACAAAAAAUGGUAAAACAUUAAUCGAUCAACAACAAAGUUAUUUGUAUGUAUCAGAACACUGAUAAUGUCAUUAAGAGAUGACAUUAAUCAAUGAGAGACAAGGUGCUUAUUAUGCUAGAAAUAAAAUUGAACUAAGAGUAAGAUUUGCAACAAAUUGGAGGUGGUUAAGGAGACACAUGUACCAGAGAAUGUUUCUCGUCCCAGACCCUACAAAGUAUUACUAAGCAUUGGAAUAUGAACAUCUAAUAACUUCCUUGGUAUUUUUUUACUGCAUCAAAACAAAGGGUUUCCUCAACAUUUAUUUGCCUGCAAAGAAAGUAAUGAAAUAAUAAAGUACUGUGAUAAAUUAAUGACUACAUAUAUAAUUGUUGGAAUUGCAACUGCUAAGUGAGAUCUGUAUUCUAUUCCUAGUAAUUAAGCUUUUAGGUCAUACCUCCCUUUAAUUUUCCUGUGAUGACAGGAUCUGUAGCAUCACUGCUCAUAAUGUUUUCUUGAUUGAAAAAUAAAUAAAUAAAUAAAAAGUCAUUAUUGUUUAUCAUCAUGAGGGGAAGCACAAUAAUCAACGACUUCUGUAACCUGCUUAUUCAAAUUACAAAGAAAUUCGAAGGUUGGUAAACUUUUCCUGCUGGCCAAUGUCUUAAAAUUUCAACCUAUAAUGAAAGAAAAAGCAUGGGAGAAAAAGAAGAGAUUUUUUUUUACCCAAUAAUGAGAAAUAAUGUUUUUUAAGCUUUUUGAUCGCUUUAAUGAAAGGUUUGGAAAUGCUGAAUAAAUAUAUGACAAAACUGAAGUAAAGGGUGGCUUUAUACCUUUAUCUAUUUAUUUUGUCUGACUGUAUUUGAUAUUAGCUGCAAGCAGAAAAGAACAUAGAAAAUGUGGGACGUUGUGUUUCGGUAACAAAAGAAGAGAAUCUGAAUGAUAUAAGUAUGACAAUUUUGGAUUAAAAUAAACAAUAAAUUAUAUUUUAAGAUUAAAGAAAUAUAAAAAAAAAAACAUAAGUGUCGGGACAUACAAAAUUUUAAAUGUAAAAUAAGGACGAUCAAGUGCAUUGAAUUAAAAGAAAAAACAAUUAACGUGAAAAUAAUUUGAAAUAAAACUAUAAAAUGUGCAAUUAAAUUAUAGAAUGUAAAGUUAAAUGAAAUAAGAGAUAUAGGAAAUAAGACAGAAGAGAAAAACAAGAAGGAAUGCAAGUUAAAGAAAAUACUUGAGAUGUGAACUACUAGAUUGUAAAUUAAAAUUCAAUGCAAUUUUUUUAAAAUGUAAAUUAAAUUUAUUGAUAAGAAUGGUUGAACAGUUUACAGAAAUUUUAAAUUUUUGAAAGGAAAAUGUUCCUACAAGAUCUGACCCUGCAGAACACUUCUUCUGAUGAUGUCGUAUCGUUCUUCUCGUCUUGUCGGCCUUCCGGUUGGUCCUCCGGUUGGUCUUCCGACUGGAUCUUCAGCUUGGACACGAUGGGGGGAGUACCUGCGAAGACACUCCGACGAUCAAGUCAGACCGAGAGCUAGGUACCAGAAGAGUGGGGAGUGAAUAGUUACCUUGGGUGAUGUGCCUCUUCUGCUAUUUAUACUGCUCUAGGUGGGCUAUGGGCGCUGUGGGCCUGCUUUAGGGUCCAAACGAAGGCCCAAUUGAGUCUUAACCAUGCUUACCAUUUAAGUUGGGUUGUUUAUGCUUAAUUACGCGUUUAGCUUCGCCUGUUGUCGUCUAGUCGGUUUUGUCGUCUAUCCGGUCUAGUCGGCCUUACGGCCAUCUGGUAGUACACAUGCCCCCCAGGCUCAAGUGAGUUGACUAAAAUGUAACGUAGAGUCGAAUUGCCGUGCAGAACACUGUUUGUUGAGGUUGAGUACAUUGGCUUGUACUCGAGGCGCGUGCACGUGGUACGGUGGGAUGUGACCGCUGGGUAGGAUCUCACGCGUUCAUUGCAUGUGGAUCCAACGGUGGGCAUUUGUUGUGACGCUUCACCUUCUCGUCUUUCUCACCUAUAAAUAGGAGUGGCAGUGGGCUCCGAUUUCUUCACGUGAUUCAUGAACUAGCUCCGAGAGUCCGACAGCCGAGUGAUAUCCUUCGUUCCUUGUGUAUUGGUUGAAGAGUUUCCUGGAGGUAACAAUGUCUCUUCUUUCGGCUGCUGCCUCAUGUCCUUCUGUGUCUAGGGGGUCUGAUAGGGAGAGGCCAUUGGCUGAUGAUAUCCCUGUCAUAGAUGCCGAGAGUGCCGAAGGCUCUUCUCGGGCUGUCGGCCCUUUGAGUCGGGAAAGUGAACAACCCGCAGAGUCGUUGUCAUUGAGUGGGUACGCAGGGGAGGAAACCCGAGAGGCCGAGUAUAAAUGGGUACAUAGUAGCGUUCGUGAGUUCUUUUCUGUCUUUACCAAAGUUUCGUUGCUUCAGGAUUUUGUAGAUAGCGUAGAUAUUUUGUUAGAUGGUGUGCCUAGUGGUGCUUUCGCUCUUCGUAGGUGUCGAGAGUUUGAGACUGUUUGCUUGGGAAGGGGGGAAGGGCGAAAGGACUUUUUUUAUUUCUAUUCUUGUUUGUUUUCGGAUAUGCAUAUCCGCUUUCCCCUUGAUAGUUUUUCCAUGGAGGUGCUGCGUGUUUUAAAUGUAGCCCCCACACAACUGCACCCGAAUAGCUGGGCAGCACUCCAGGCCUUUCGAUUGCUUUGCGAUGUGUUGAGUCUUAGGCCGACAGCUAGGUCUUUUCUGCAUUUCUUUGGCACUAGGCCGGGUGACCGAAUAUGUUGGUUAUCCCUUGUCGGCCAAACAAAAAAUAGCCUUUUCGCUCCUUAUACGACAUCUUAUAAGAACUUUAAAACAGGUUUCUUUAAGGUUGUCAUUGAGGAGGGGGGACGGCAGUUUUUCUUUGAUGGUGAGACACCUUAGUUUCCUUUUUAUUGGACGAAGGAUCCGACACGUUUCAAUUUAUGGCCGAGGUCCCUGAUGACCGAUGACGACUUGGAAGUGUUAUCGGUGUUGGACCAACUUCCUCGCAAGAUUCCAACCCGGUCCCUCGUCCGUGCCUACUUGUCCCCUGAUAGAUGUGUUGAUGUUGAUGGUAUGUGUUUUUACUCGUCUUUUUGUGCAUUUUACUAUGACUAACUUUGUUUUCGUCCUUCAGGUAUAAUGGCAAGUUUGGUGCCGCCAGGUGGAAAGAAAGAUUAUUUCGUAGCAUGGGGACACCGCGCCUUUGACGAACUGUGUCAUCCCGAGGAGGGAUAUGCNNNNNNNNNNNNNNNNNNNNNNNNNNNNNNNNNNNNNNNNNNNNNNNNNNNNNNNNNNNNNNNNNNNNNNNNNNNNNNNNNNNNNNNNNNNNNNNNNNNNGGCAAAUGAAAAGAGGAAAUGAGAUAUGAAUGGGUCUUUGCGCCUAUAUAUUCUCAAAAACCAAUCUUGAUAACCAUUUCAAAAUUUCAAAAAUCGCGCCAAGUGAAAAAUACCUUAAGAAGAGAUUUGUAGUGGUGGUAAGGCAAUGAGCAGAAAGUGUGCAGUUGCCAAAUCGGUGAAAGAGAAGGGGAAAGUAGAAGAGAGUAAGGGUUUAGUAUGUGGAGGGAAUGAAGAGAGUGAGAGGCAUGGUGUGCAGAGAGCAUGAGAGAGAGAGAAUGCAGAGGGUCAGAGUGAAAAGGUGAAUAUGGUGUGCACUAAGAGAGAGGGAGAGAAUGCAGAGGGUCAGAGUGAAAAGGUGAAUUUGGGGUGGGUUUAUGUGCUACGUGUCCUGCAUUUAGAGAACCACGAUGAUGUGCCCUGAGAGUGACACGUGAAAACAAUUCCCUUUGUGGUAAAAAAAUAUUUUUGAAUUUUUUUUUCCAAAAAUUUUGAGGUUGUGACACGUGUCUAAACAAACCUGUUUGUGCUCACUCAAUUGUUAUAUAUAGAUAUAGAUAUAGAUAUAGAUAUCUUUAUUCUUGGAUGGAGAUGAAUAAUUGAAUAACUAAAAAAAAUUGACUUAGUCAAUAAAAAGUGUAAUUCAUAAUUAAAUAAUUAAAAUAUUUGAGUAAUUUUUUUAUUACCUUUCUUUAUGAGUAAGUAAUAUUUACAAAAUAUGAUUGUGUGCAUUUGUAUCAUUACGUGUAAAUGUUAGAAAGAAAAUUCAACUUAAAAUUUGUAAGUAAAAAAUCCACUUUAAACAAAUCAAUCAUAAUAAAUUGAUAUAUUAAUUUAUUUAUCCUAAUUAAUUAUUUAUUUACUUUGAAUAUAUACUUACCUGCUCUGCUCUGCUACUAGAAGGUUGUUAUCCAUUUAAAUUCUUCUAAUAACUUAUUACCAAUAAUAUAUAAUAUAUCAUAAUAUAUUAUUUUACAAUUAAUUUAUUUUAAGGGGAGACAUUUUAGGGCUUCCAAGAUUUAGAAAAAAAUAAUUUUAGUCCUAACAUUUUGAAAACUGUAAUUUAAAUCUUUUUAUAUAUAUUAAAUAUAAUGAAACAUAGGUUUAAAGACAGAAUCUAUCGACCAAAAUUAUUAUUUUUAAAAUAAAAUUAUUAAAACAAAUUUAAACAAAAUUUUGAGAAACUCAAACAAAUUUUUACAUAUAAAAUUUUUCAAAAACAUUAAUCAAAACCUAUAAUAGACAUUAACUAUUAUAAAAAUAUCUACUUUUGUUCUCAUUUGUUGCCAUUUUUCAUAAUUUAUUGUCCAAUUAACAUCAAUCAGGUACAGGUUAAUUUUUGUUUUUUACUCAGUUGCUCUGCUUCCAAUUCUACAAAUAUGAAUAUAUGCAUUCUCUUUGUCAUGAUUACUUGAAAUAUUAUUAUGCUUAUGUAUAAGUACAAUAAAAAUAAUUUAUAACACACAACCAUCAACUUAUAAUUUAAAGAAUUAACACAAAGAUCAAUCCAUAAUGUAUUUAUUUAUAUAAUUCAUAAAUUAUAUUUUCACAAUGAUAAACCCUAUUAUACUAAUUUAAUAUAUAUUUUUUCGAUUAUUAACCCAAAAGAUAAGUGUACCAAAAUUAAUAAGUUUCUACUUCAUAACACAUCACCAAUCUCUUAUUAUCUCUUAUUAUGCUCAUUUCAUUCAUCCAUCAUAUGACUUACAAUUUGAAUAUGACACAUGAUAGAAUUUACUAAAUAUCUUGGACCAAUAACAUCUUUGACUCAUUGCCAUGUAAAUUCAUUUAUUUACCUAAUAUGUAAACUUUUACAUUAUGAUUGAAGUGCAUACAAAUGGCAUCAUGAGCGUUGUACAUAUACGUGCACUAAUUUAUAUAUAUAUAUAUAUAAUUAUUUAUUUUUUUAUAAAAAUGCAUUAACCAGUCAAAAUAUAUCAACUAAAGUUUAAUGUAUACGCUUAGUUGACUUAUUUAUGAAAAUAUCAUUAUGAAAGAUAUUUAAAAAAAUAUUUCUUCACAAAAAACCAAAGAAUAGGUGGGUCACCGAUCAUAAACUAAACUAGCUAUGUUAACUACACUUGGGAGUACUUGGCUGCAUUUCCAUGGUUACUUUUUGUUGAUGCAUCACCUUCUCAUACUUGAAGAACCUCAUUUAAAAAAAAUAUGAAAUACUUUACUUGAACAAUUCUGUACAUGUAACAAAAGUGAAUUUCGUAAAGUAUGAGCACAAGGAUGCAUGGUUAUAGAAUUGAGAUUCAUGAAUUUUUUUAAUUUUUUUAAUCAUAAAUUGAAUCUUAUUAUAAAUUAUAGGAUACAUAAUAAAUAAAUUAAAUAUUAAAAUAAUUUUCCAGUAAAUCUAUUUCUUUUAUUUUUUUACAUUUGUUAUAAAAAAACAAGAUUAUAUACACAUUUUCAUAUUUGUAGUGUUUUUUUUUUAUUGUAUUUCCUCUUAUUAGACAUCUAAUGAUAUUCCUGCAUCAUUUUUAUUAUUAUAUGUCAAUUUUUUAUAAAUAAAAACUUAGAAUAUAAUAAAGGUUAAAUGUGCAUAUACAUCUUUUCGAAAAUUGCUUUUGUUUUUUCAAACAAAUUAAAAAUUUAUACUAGUAAAAGUUUAAGAAAAGAAUAUUAAAACUAGUUCACAAUAAAAUUAUUUUAUCAAAAGUAAAGGUACAACCUCUUCUUCUUCUCCACUCUUCUUCUUCAAUCUUCUUUUAGUUUUCUAUGCGUUUUUCGUCUCCAAUUUUCUUCACCGUUAAGUUUUUGUUCUCUACCGAUUCUAUUAUCUUCUCUUCGUUCUUUCCUUUUACUUUCUUCAUGUCCUUCUUCUGAUAAUGUUUCUUGUCAUAAACGUGUGAUUGUUUUGUGAUUAUCUUAAUCAUGAAUCCUACAAUUUAUUCAAUUCAUGUAACCAUUCAAGAUCUAGAACGAUUGAACUUCAUUUGUGAAUCGGAAAAUCUAUGUUUAGAUUCGAAUCUUAUGAUUCAUGUAAUUCUAACUACUGCGGAAUGCACCAAAUAUGUUCACGAAAAAAAUCUCGUGCUAAUAAGAUUGUUAUAUAGAAAAGUAAUAAUAAGAAUUUUCAAUAAAUUUUGUGUUGAAAUUGCAUUUUUGAGUUGAAAGUAAUAACAUAAACAUGUUAAAAGAAAAAGAAAACUACGUCACCAUUCACCAAUUUUAAUUUGUACAUAAUUUCAUGAUUUUAAAAUUGAGAUAUUAUAUAAGCAAAGUACAAAUAUAAAACCACAAGGAUAAGAACCAAGCACAUAAAACAAAAACAAGACACUAAUAACAACAAGGAUUUCUAUCUCCCUACAUGUCAAAAGUGAUCGAGACCUCCUGAACAAUAAUGAGAAAAUCAAUUUUUUAGCUAGUAGACUGUGAUUUUCAUGGUAUAAUUGUCAUUUAAAGAGUGGAAUUGAUUCUUGUGUGUUAUACAAAUUCUUGAAUUUGUGUUUGGCUUUAAUUAGGUGUCCACAUCAGAUAACUUAAGUCACUUUUUACCAAAACCUUCAAAAACAACUUUGCAGGGUAGUAAUUAGUAAUUCAAAAUCAUAAUCAAACUUCAAUAACAUAUGUCUGUCAAACAACUAUGAAAAUAGUUUAUAACAUUAGCUCACUAAUAUGAUAUGUAAUACAUAUUAAUUAUUAUGAAGAGAAUGUAGGCAACCUAUUGUUCAGUAUACAAUACCAUUUUUUUUUAUCAGCAAUAAAGAUUGAAUAACAGGGACCACUUAAGGGGUGGUUCAACCCUUAUACAUAUCUAAAAAAUGAGACAAUUUCUCUGGUCUCCCAAACCAGCAGAUAGAGGGAGACAAACAAAUCUACCACUAAAAAACCCGUACAGCCCGUACAAUUUCAAAAACUAACCCAUACAAAAUCAAAACUAACCUGUACAAAAUAAAAUCUAACCCGUACAAACCCAAAUAGACUCAAAACCAAACUCAAUACAAUCUUUUUGCACCCACAACAAGGGGCAAAAAGAACAACAGAAGCUUAGAACAACAAACAACCCAACCGAAGGAGUAACUCUUAUAAAAGCUCACUUUAUUGAAAACAUACAAGCUCUAGGAUCAAUGCACCACUCAGAGUAAGUAAAACUUGCAGAAACAGUUUUAGAAGUUACCCAAGACCAAGCCUUUAAUUGUGCCAAAGUGAACACUUCCGAAGG
rnacentral:lncRNA from 1 species